rnacentral:lncRNA from 1 species
GCCACCCCUGGCAGGAGCCGCACCUCGGACAGCAGCAGCGGCGGCCGCGGGAGGGUUGGUGUGGCGCGGGGCGGUGGGGUCCUGUGUGGAGAGUGGGGCGCGACUCCGAGACCGCGGGCGGAGGCUGCGCACAGCCGGAUCCGGCACCCAUAGACGCGACCCGUGGGUCCGCCAGGGUUCAAGCCGCAGGAGAGCGACUCGGGAACAAGUGUGCGAGAGGAAGCGGCGGUGGCGACGCCGGGCCCGGGGUGGUGACAGCAGGUCUAAGGUGAGAGUCCCCGGGUGCCGAGUGGUGACAACGUGAGCCCAGGCGUGGGGACCCUGGGAGGAGUGAGGUCGGGGGGGACCCGACCGAGGGGAGUUCCGGGAGAGGGUUGACAGUGCGGUCUGUGGGGAGAAGACCCCCGGAGGGACCGGGACAGCGGGACGAGCGGGGACGUCGAGAGGGGCCAGGGCAGUGGGGCGAGGGGAGAGGUCCCUUAGAGGGCCUGGGACGACGGGGUAAAGGAUGGAGACCCGACGGGGACGGAACAGGAGGGUGAGGAAAGGUGCCUCCGAGAGGGACCGGGACAGCGGGGUGAGGGGAGUGGAGCCCGGAGGGACCGGGACAGCGGGUGAAGGGAGGCGGUCCCCAGAGGAGCAGGACAGCGACGUGAGGGGAGACCCCGGGUGGACCGGGACAGCGGGGCGAGGGACGGGCACCCCUAGAGGUCCAGGACAGUGGGGUGCGGGGUGGGGACCCCCAGAGGGGCCGGAACAGUGCGACGAGCGGAGGGACCCUGAAAGGGACCAGAACAGCCGGGAGAGGGGUUGAAAAGACCCUUUUCAAACCCGAAAAGGGUCCAGAGUGAGAGUAUGAGGGAGGGGACCCAAAAGGGACCGGACAGGGGGUCCGAGAGAGGGGACCCCGAGAGGGGCCAGCGCAGAAGUGUGAAGAGGACCCCAGCAAAGCUUAGGACGACGGGGUGAGCGGGGACUCCGCAAGGGGCCCGGACCGAGAGGCGAGGGGCGCGGACCCCCAGAGGGGCCUGGGCGGCGGGAAGAGAGGAGGGGACGGGGCCAGCGGCGGAGCGUGGCACCCAGGGUCGAUCUGGCGCGGAGGGGCCUGGGGGUCGCGCCGACCGGGUCGUGAUACCCCGGGACAGCGCGUCCUGGAGCCUGGGUCGGGGUCGCUACGUCGGGCGAGUGGGGACCGUAGGCAGCGCCCAGCGGGCUACGGACGCUGCUCCCGGGGUCUGGAAUCCGCGAUCUUCCCGAGGGAAGAGUCCUGGGGACCCUGCGGAGCCGGGAUUAUGUAACGAAGCAUCUCGGAGCAGAGCGCACCGGCUGGAGGGCAGGCGGACCGCGGUGGGAAGGAUGGAGAGUCAGGCGGCCUCGCCUCGGCCCGCCGGCGCCCACUCCUUUCCUAGAGUCGCACGUAGAUACCUUGAAAGUGGGGGAUUCUUGACCCUAAAGAAAAGGUCCGGUGGAAAGUUGGAGGGGCUUCCUUCAGCCCACCCCAAGAAGUUGGAAGGGAAAGGGAUGCUUGCGGAGAUCCAGCUUUCGGUUUAAUUAAGUUGUUUAUUUUGACUCUUGUAUUUUCUUGGAUUACUAUUUGUUUGGGGCGGGGGUGUUUGAUUGGGUUUUGUUUUAUUUUUUCUAUUUUAGUUCAGCGAAGAGGUAAGAAACUUUUUCGGAUUUGGCAGCACAUUGGUAUCCAUGUUUACAAUGCAGAUUUAAAGGAGCUACAUACCAGGUUUGGAAUUGGGGUUGUUUAACUUUGAUGAGUUGGAGAUAGUUGGAAGGUCAAAAUAAUUAAGAAGAGAUAUUGGAUUCUCUAAACUAAAUAGUACUUUCCAAUUAGAUCCCAAAAGCUACCAGGACUGAGGUUUAGGCAUAAUUCCAGGACAAACUGGAGAGAGAGAUAAGCCUAUUUAAACCAGACACUGUAUGUCCUGGUGGGAGGCAAGCUUGUGUCUAUUAAAAUGCUGAAACCAAUAGUGGGAAGCCAUAAGAGGAGGCAAUUGAGGGGCAGCCUCCUACUUUGACAGAUGUGAAAAUUAAACUAAUGAGCAGGCUAAUUGUUCACAGUAGUUGGGAUAUGUUAAUAUUUCCCUAACUACCUUUCAAAUGUUCUCUGAAAUGCAUAUGCUAUGUUCUAACCAACCAUUUUGUAUUUGAAUUUUUAAAAAUCUUUGUUUGUGUAUUGCUUCUCCUCACUUCUUUUUUUCACUGCUUUCUUUCUUUUUCUUUUCUUUUUUUAAGAAGCAAUUUGGAAAAUGGUGGCAUGAGGUAUAGGGGGUGGGGGUUAUGUAGCUCAGUUGAAAAGCACUUGCCUGGCAAGUGUGAGGCCCUGGGUUCAAUCCCCAGAAUGAAAAAGGAGAAGAAAAAGAUAAUGGACCAUGUAAUACCAUUUCAGUUAUUUAGAAAUCUUUGUUUCACGUUUAGAAUGUGUCUUAAUGGAAAUUAUUUGCCUGUGUUCUGUAAUGGACAGCUUCAAGUAAAAGGAAGAAAGGAAUGCUGUAGUAUUUCCCAAAAACAUAACUUAUAGAGCAUUUAUUUAUUUAUUUACUUAGUGCUAGGGAUCAAACCCAGGGCCUCACUCAAGCUAGGCAAGUGGUCCCAGGCCCUAGAUUUUCUAUUUAAAUCCAAGUCAAAAAUUACUGAAGUCAUUUUUAUAGGGGGGAUGAGAAGUAGAGGACAGGCUCUGAUUAGGGAUUUUAUUUGACAUUACGUGAUGCAGUUCUUAUGUGGCUGCAGAGAGUGUAGAACUUGAUGCAGUUAUGAAAAUUCCACUAACUCCAAGUCCUCCCCUGAGAAGAAGUUAGACCAACAUGAGAAAUAAGAGCAGCAAGGACACAUUUAAAAUAUGAGAUAUACUAUAAGAUGUUUUGAGUAUAAUUUUUUACAUUAAAUUUAUUAUUCCAGGAAGCUAGGUAGAGUUCAAGUAAAAAUGAGGUCAGUUAACUUACAAGGUUAUUUGGAGGGGGCACAGAUUCAUUAUGAAGUGCAUAUAAUGUAUAAAGUGACCUGUGGAAGGACUGGUGAUCUCAGCACCAACAAUCCUACAAAGUAAUAGAAAUGUUUGAGCAGAUAAGUCCUUUCACUGUCUUGUUAGCUCAUUUCUGACUGGUAUAAAUGGUCAUUUCUGAAGACAAAACAUUGAAUUUAUUUCCUUUUAAGAAAAGAAAGUGCUCUGAUACUCCCCUGAGUGAUUACUAAAGCAGUCAUUUUAACCACAUUACGUUAUGGUAUUGAUCCAAGGAUGAUGAAGAGAGAUUCAUUGUAGUAGAAUUUUUUAGUGAUAAGAAGGGCCUAUAAUAACUUUAUUCCCUGGAGGGGGAGGGGAUAGGAGGGUAGGAAUUCAGUGGGAAUUUUUUUUCAUUUGUUUCGAAAACUAAAAUGACACUCCAAGAAACUAUAAGUAUGUGAAAUCUUUAUACUCUGUUCUUUAAAUUAUUUCCUAUCUAAAAAUAGGAUCACAAGAAGUUGGAGCUUUACAUUUCCAUAUGAAUGGUGAUGGCAACCACAGAAUUUAAGUUCUUUUUGGUUCUUUAAGUGUUCUCAGUCUUAGCUUAGCAGGAUGCAAGGACUGCCCAGUAAAUACAAUAACCCAUUUUACACUUUCUUUACCACUUGAGUCCUAUACAGUCAAACCAUUGUAGUCUCAGAAACUACCUUGAUAUCUAAAUUGGUUUAAUGUUUAAGCCAACCUGAAUAAACGUUCUCAUUGCUUGCCAAUAUUCAUGUUCAUUGGUUUUAGUAGUACAGGAGAAUGCAUGAAAGCUAACUAUUGAUUCUUUUUUCUACAUAGUCAGCUAAAAACCUCUUUCCUUUGUAGUUUUUCCAGUCUUCAUUUCUUCCCUCUCCACCCCCUCCAAAAUACAGACACAGGAAGGAAACAAUGAGGAAGAGAGGGGGGGGGGCGGUGGUGGAAAGAAAGAUUCCAUCUAAAAGUGUUUUGUGGCUGGACUUAUUUCUUUUCUUUUCUCUUUUAAAAAACAUUUAUUUUUUAGUUGUAGGUGGACACAAUACCUUUAUUUUAUUUUUAUGUGGUGCUGAGGAUUGAACCCAUUGGCUCACGCAUGCUAGGUGAGCACUCUACCUCUGAGCCACAACCCCCACCCAGUGGCUGGACUUCUUUCAAUAAGAGAUUCCUAUCUGUCAGAUUGCUUUUUAAUUAUUAUUUUUGAGUUGUGGGAUAUUAUAUAAUGCAUUUUUUUCUUACUGAAGCUUUAUAAUGUCUUGAUAUCUUAUGUAGUUCUAACUUUUCAAUUUCAAAACUGUCUUGGCUUUUAUUGGCAAUAUACAUUUUCAAUGUUUGUUUUUUGUUUUUUAAUUAGUUGUACAUUGCAGUAGAAUGCCCUUUGACACAUUAUAUACAAAUGGAGCACAACUUCUCAUUUCUCUGGCUGUACAUGAUGCAGAGUCACACCAGUAGUGUAGUCACACAUGUAAAUAGAGUAAUAAUAUUCAUCUCCUUCCACUGUCCUUCCCACUUCACACCCACUCCCCUCUGCCCAAUCCAGAGUUCCUUUAUUCUUCCCCUACACGCCCCCCUGCCCCCAUUGGCAUUAUGGAUCAGCAUCCAUUUAUCAGAGAAAGCAUUCUGGCUUUGGUUUUGGGGAUUAGGCUUAUUUCACUUAGCAUGAUAUUCUCCAGCUCCAUCCAUUUACCUGCAAAUGCCAUAAUUCAUUCUUCUUUAAGGUUGAGUAAUAGUCCAUUGUUAUACAAUGCAUUUUAACUUAAAGAAAACAAUUUAACAAUUGUGACUUGUCUAAUUUUCCAUUUAAUUGGUUGCUUUACUGUUUGUGAGGAUUUGUUAAAAGCUUGUUCCUGUUUCUUAAGCUCAGUAAAAGAAAUAAAUGACAUUUAUUGAUCAACUAUAAUUAUCAUUUAGUUAUGGUUAAGGUAAAUUUGUGGAUCAAAAUGUAAUCUAGCUCAUUUCUAAGCCAUAAGAACCAAAUUUAAAAAAGAACUACUAAAUGAGUUAUAACCAGUAAGAAUUAAAUCAGUUUUUAUUGUUCUGGCUAUAUGUUGUUAAAGUUACAUAAAUAUAAAUGAACCUAAAUGUUUUUUUCUGUCCAAUCUGAGAUUUGUUAGUGAUAUUAAAGUAUAAAGUCUUCAUAACAUUUUUUUUUUUGGUACUGAGAAUUGAGCUCAGGGCCCUUAACCACUGAGCCACAUCCCCAGCCCUAUUUUGUAUUUUAUGUAGAGACAGGGUCUCACUGAGUUGCUUAGCACCUCACUUUUGCUAGAGCUGGCUUUGAACUUGCUGUCCUCCUGCCUCAGCCUCCCAAGCCACUGGUAUUACAGGCGUGUGCCACUGCACCUGGUACUUAUUUCUAUUUUACAAGGUAAAAUGCUAGUUUUUUGGCAACAGAAUCACUUAGAAGCCAAUUCAUUUGUUACCACAGGCCAGUCUUCCAAGCAUUGUCAGCUGUUUCACAAAUAGACAUUUUUCAUCCAUAGAGUGAGUGAAAGAGGAAGAUGGCUUGGAAUAAGCGUUUAACACCUAGUGAAACCUACUGCCUUUCACCAAAGAGGUGUGCACCAUGGGGCGUGAUUCUAAUAGUGGGAAUUUACCCGCCGGAGUCAGGUGUUUAGGCCCUUUUACUUCACCUCUGGCCUCAUUGAAAUGAUGGCUAGCAAAACCAACCCCACCUUAUGCUUUUUGUUUUAAUAUUGUAAUCAAAGUACUCAUUGGAAGAGCUCAAUAAUUUCGUUCCAGAUCAAACUGGGUCUCUAGGCAAUAAGUAUUAUUGUUAGAUGUUUCACUUUCUGUCUAAUGACACUGGCUUCCGUCCAUAGAAAUCAAGGGUUAUGACAAUUCAAACACAUUUUAUUUACCCAUUACAAUAGAUGGCACUAAUCAAGACAGAAUACUUUCUUUAAUUUUUAGUUGUUGAUAGACCGUUAUUUUAUUUAUUUAUAUGCAGUGCCGAGAAUCGAACCCAGUGGUUCACACGUGCCAGGCAAGUGCACUACCACUGAGCCCCAGCCCCCAGAAUAUUUUCUUAAGUAAACUAGUAACCUCAUUAGGCUUGUAAGUAGAUGUACUGAACAGAAUCAGAGUUCAUGUCCAAUUUUCCAUUCUGUUGUGAAUAUUAGCCUUUAUUUUUUGAAGGGUGAAUAGAUAAAUACACAAAUACUUUCCAAAACCAUAUGAAUGUGGUUUUAAAAUGAUCUAGGUUAAGAUUUAAUAGUAGAGAGAUGACAUUGCAGUAAUAUGCUUUCUGUACUUUUAUGCCUCCAUUGUCUCUGCAAACUCUCUUCACCCAUUCUAUCCCAGUCCCCUAUUUACGUUGUGUUUGUCAUUUACUAGCUUGUGAGCACGUUGAGAACAGAGAUGGAAGGGUCUUUUCCACCUUUGUGUCCCCCACACCAGGUAUAAUGAAGCACAAAAUGUGGAGAUUGCACAGUCAAUGUGAAUUGAAUGAGUGAAUGAAUUAAUGAUCAGCCAAAUUAAAAGAUGGUAUUUUUGUGCACAUGAUUUCUAAUCCUUAUUGAGAGCUUAUAAUUCAUCAAAAGGAUAUUAAGAGACUGGCAAUAUCUCUGGAAUAGAAGAAUAAAUGUCAGCACUGUAUAUCUCCCACAUGAAGCAUCAGGAUCCAAUGGAAAGAAAAAAGAACCUGAGACCCAGAGACACCUAUGCACCUUUUUUUGACUCUGUUACUAUGUCAGCUGCCUGACCCUGACUAAGUUACUCAAGGCUUGAAGCUCUCAAUCGUCUCCUCUUUAAAAUAAGAAUAUACAGCCUCGCAGGCAAAAGGCCCUGGGUUCAAUCCCCAGCACCAAAAAAAUAUAUAUAUAUAUAUAUAUAUAUAUAUAUAUAUACACACACACACACACACACACACACUCACACACAAAAAAUAUAUAUACACAUAUAUAUGUACAUACACACACAAACUUCUUGGGAUUCUUGGAAGUAAUGAAUGAAGUGAUUUAUGUAAAGUACCAAGCACAAUGACAAACAUAUAGAAAUUGCUUAAUAAAUGGUCACUGCUUCUUAUUUUACUUACUUGAAACAAUUAUUCAUUGCUAUUUUUCCUCUACUUCCAUUUCUAAUGCUUUGCUGAACCCCAUGGCUUAUGAUUCCAAAAAGAAAGAUGAAUAGAUUCACACAAAGGUGAACCGAGACUCAGAGGUAAAUGACUUCCCAGAGUCACACAGACAAUGGCCAUCAAACACAUGACCACUAUGACCUAGGUCUUCUUUGGGUUUUUGUUGUUGAUGUUGUUGGCAUGCUGGAGGUCAAAAACCCAGGGCCGGCUGCCUGCUAAGCAUGUGCUCUACCAUAGAGCCACACCCCCAGCCCUAUAUCUGGUUUUCCAAUGAAGCACAACUUCCACCCUUUGCUAUCCAAGUAGGAUCCAGUGAAGGCCUUAAUAGGUGCUGUGGAAGGACGACUGUGACAGUUUCCCAGUCUCCUCUUGUUUUUUGUCCUUUCUAUGUAUGCUUGUCUUAUUCUCCCUAAAGUACAGCUCUGAUUUUGUCAUUCACUUGCUCAAAGUCUUUUAUAAUUUCUCAUGGCUUACUGAAUUCAGUACAAAUCUAUCAACCCGUUUUUUAGGUUCCUGUCACCCCAGUUUAUUACACACACACACAUAUACUCAUAUAUGCACAUAUCCUAAUAUAGUCUUAGAUAUACUCACGCAUGUGAGUGUAUAUGUACAUGUAUACAUAUGUAUUUAUAUGUGUGUAUGUGCAUAUAUUUGUGCAUAUAUAUAUAUUUUUAUAUAUAUAUAUAUAUGUAUGUGUGUGUAUAUAUAUAUAUUUAUUUAUUUAUUUAUUUAUAUAUGCAUGUUCUUUGCCACAACCAGAAUGACCUGCGCACCUUUGUUCCUGCCCUUUCUUUUGCCGGGACACCUUCUGUGCCUCAUUCUUGAGGCCUGCCUCUAAUGCCAUUUUUUAGGAUCCUCCUCUGAUCAUCCUCCUGAUGCUUCUCCUUUAGAUUACCUAAGUAUUUGAUCUGUACUUCUUCUCAUUACGUUCUGUUCUCCUGAUAGCACACUAUAGGGUUUAUACUUGUCUUAGCCUUCCCAGACAUCCAUCUUCUUGAUGCUAAAAAGAGUGUCUUAACACACAUUUAACAAGUGCCUUGCAAAUGGUAUCUUAAUUGUUGAAUUGUGUUAAAUUUACAUACUCAAUUCAAAAUAAUAUUCAAUUAUAUUUAUACAAAUAAUUAUAAAACAAAGUUAUUGCUGCCAGUGAACAUAACAAGGAUCAUUCCUAAGGGAAGAAUUCACUUUUGACCCUGACGGUUGGCAAAUUGAUGCCUGUGGUAUUAAAUAUAUGGAAACUUGUAUGCUCUGUUUAAGCAUCAGUGAUAUUCCCUAAAGUGCAUUUUGACUCUAAUAUUUAGGAUUUGUUAUUUUAUUUCCUUAGGUGAUGGUUUUAUUAGAUGGGUCUUUGGAAUUUUGCUUUCCUUCCUGUGGGUAUUAGCAACAAAUGAAGUAAGAAUCUCUAUCAUUUGCAAGAGAGAUAGUCGUUCACUUGAGUCUGUCUGGAAAAAGCUUAACACUCUGAUCUUUCAAAGCAAAGCAAGUGCCCCACUUUGUAGUGGAAGCAGUUUGCAGUCACACUCAGAUAAACUUACUGUUGUCUCCAUCUUUCAUAUUGAAUUCUUCUGCGUAGCACUUGCCACCUUUUGACAUACCAAAAUACAGUUGUCUGUUUGUCUUAAAUUCCUGUGGUGGAAUUUAGGGUCCCUGAAGAUAGAAAUUUUUUGUUUCAUUCAUUGCUGUAGCCCUAACUCACAGAACAAUUGACUAGCAUGUAGUAGUCACUUAGUAAGUAUUUGCAUAACUAGCAGAGAAAUUUGGCUUUGGGAAUUCCUCCAAUUUGUUAACUAAAACAGGUUUUGUUAUUUUAAACAUGAAGAAGUAAAGUUCAAGGCAGUUGACUUUACUGGCUAGGAAGAAUAGAGUAUAUUUAUAUACUUUACUCAGGGUUUUACUUUUUUUUUUUUUUUUUCCUGUUUAUUCUUGUAGGAAAGAUUGAACUAAGGGCCUAGCCCAUGCUAACUAAGCAAGCAUUCUACCACAGAGCUGCAUCCCCAGCCCUUUUUAUUUUAUUUUGAGACAGGGUCUUGCAAAAUGGCCCAGGCUGGCUUUGAAUGUGUGGGUCUCCAGCCUCAGUAUUCCAAAAAGCUGGGAUUAUAUAGCCACCACACCCAGACUACAUUCAUUUUCCUUGAGCAGCCUUGAAUUUGCUAUAUUAUUAUUUAAUUGAAUGCAAAUAAAAAGUCAUUGCUACCAUCAUACCAUACGUUGAAGAUGAUUGUGUCUCAGUCUAGCUAAAAACCUAAGAAAACUAUUCUUUGGAACAAAGUCUAAUGGAAGCUUGCUGACAUGGCCUUAGGCAUUAAAGACUCAUAAGACCAAAAUAGUAAUAAGAUUCGGUACAGGAGCAUUAUCCCUUUAAACAUUUCACUUGUUUUUCUUAGAUGCUGAUUUUGACCCUGAAAAUUGGUCAAAUCAAGCUUCUGAUGUUAAUUUGGGGUUGUUAUCAGUUUUCUGCAUGUACUAGUAAUUGGGUUUGAAAUGUGUUUUAAGCCUGAAUUAAAAGAACUUAGUCACUGGUGACUCAUGGUGAGAAGUUUUUCCCUUUCUCUGCUGGAGCAUAUGCCAUUGCCUCCAACAUGCUUUUUUUGAAACAUUGAAAACGUACAAAUUCUUAUUUUUAUGUACUAGGUUCUGGAAAAGUUCUUUUUGGCUUAAAGCGGCAGCGUUCAUUUCAAUGCUUUUUAGUAGUAAGUGCUAAUUACCAUUGACUUUCCAAAUUUCCAUCCAAAUUUCUUUAAUCUCUGCUUUUAUGAAAGUAUUCUCAUUAUAUACAAAGUCCUCAACCACCCACUACAUGAAUGACCACCACCAAGACUCAGUUUUGUUCAUUAUCAUUUUCUAGUGUCUAGAACUGCGCUUUGGGCAAAGAAGGGAAUAAGUAUCUGAAGUCACAUACAUUCUUGAUAAUAGUGCACCUAGAAAAAAAAAAUCAGGAAACCCUGUUAAAGUAGGAUUUACUCCAGCCCUUGAAUUGAGUAAUCACCAAUUCCUAACCAGCCUAGUUUGGGAAGCUCAAAGCUCUCAGCAUUUCCAAGGUAGUUCUGUCUUUUCUGCUCCAAAUGUUCCAAACAUGGGUUGUGUCAACCUUCAAAUCCCCUUUAGCGGAUCACUUUUGGAAGCCUAGAGAGGCGCCGCCCAUAGGCACUGCACCUGUGAGAGCCAAUGGGCGGUGCGACAGGAAAUGCUUCAGCUCACAGGGCUGAUAGCAACGUGUGGCACCCUCAUGCUCUUUUUAUCUGCAGUUCCUUAUUGUAGGAGGUUUCUGGAAGUUGCUUUUUUUUUUUUUUAAUAAAUAAUAAAUAUAUAAACUUAAGAGAGAACUGUAGAUUUGAAAGUUAAGAUGUGAAUGGUUAUUUGCCUUUUCUUCACUACCAAGGAAUUGGUGAGUUGUCCUUUCAUUUCUGUUCUUUUUCUUUCUAACAUUGUAUCCUGUGAAAUGUUACUCUAGCACAUUGGGCAGGGGAGCAGAGAGUGCAUAAAUGUAAAAUAAUUGGAACUUAAACCGAUAUUGUUAUCAAUAACAGUAACCCAUUCUGAUUUUAUAUGCUACCACAUCGGUAAACACUGAUAAAAUAUCAUAGAUUUUUACAGGUGAUUUGUUUACCUUGAGCAAGUUUUUCUCUUUUAAAGGGACUAGGAGGAAAGUUCUGGAAAAGGUUUUCAGAAAAUUCUUUCCAAAAUGUUGAAAUAUAAAGCUGCAUAAAGUGCUGUUGGCGUUAACUGUCUGACCAGGAAGUACUUUAAGUCUCACUUACAAAAAACUAAGUGUCUAUAAUAACUUCCUUUCUCGGGAUGAAGGUGCUUAAUAGCCUAGUGGUGUUCUCAUAACUUGAGUGUAGUUCAAUUUUAUUUUUCCUGUGAGUAAGAGGCAGCUGUUUAAAGAAAGCCAUCUCUGGGGCAGACUUAAUGAUUGCAAUGGCUAAAUAAAGAAUUUUUACAGUUUUUAAUGUGUUGGAUUGGAAAUAAUAGAACAUGCAUUUGAGAAGAUUGACUGUGAGUAAGUGUAGUUGGAAUUUUUACUUUCAGUGUUUUAUUGUGAAUAUGGUUUGUGUGUAAGCAUUGUGAAUAAACAGGAGUAAACUCCCUGUUGAAUUUCAUGUGAAUAUUUAUGGCCUUAACCCAAAGUCCCAUUAGGCACAAUCAGUCUUGAAAGGCAUUGGAUUCAUAUCCUCUAUUUUAAUUAGUAGCCUGAUAUUCUACAAGUGUCAAUUUUUUUAAAAAAUCAGGCUUUUAAAAUUUUUCCUUUCUACUGGAUAAGUAAGGUAAAUGCUGAGUUGCCAAUAAAAUAUCAAAAUCUUAGCAGAAGACUCCUUUAAACAAAACAAUUUUUAAAUGUUAAAGGUUCAUCUUUAUUAGAUGGAUACAGUUUAUGCUAAUGAAUGAUAUUAUUACUUUAAAACGUAUUUCAAAAUUAAGCCUCUCAAAAUGGCCAACUAUCCAUCCUAGAGAUCUUUAAAAAUAUUAUAGUUAAUAUUUGUAUUCUCUCACAGAAAAAAAGAAAACAGGAGAGAAAGCAAAGAAAUUUCUUGACUAUAAUACCAAAUUACAUUCAAAAACAGACAAAAAGAUCAGAGCAUCUACUCAUAUUUACUUUGUUUUGUAAUUUUUUAUCAUUUUAAUACAUAGGGUCAGUUACUAAAGUAUAAAAUAUUGUAUAUGAUUAUAAUGCACCAAUAAAACAUGUGGAAAGUGGGGGGAAGUAUGAAAAUAAAAUAGCCAUGAGGAGACCAACUUUGCUAGGCUCUUUGAACAAAGUUUAAAUGAAAUGUGUAAGCUAACGUAACCCUGAUGUCCAGACUCCUGAUAUUUUACAUACUGUAUGUGUAAAUUAGCUCUUAACAUUAUACAUAGGAUGAGUUUUUCAUUCAGCCGUCAUUACAGUGGCUGCUACUCAUUGGGAGGGGGAGGAGCUGUCUAAUACAUAAAAAAGGAAAUUUAACAUUUCCAAUAAUCCUUGAAAUGUGGAGCAGGUAGCAUGUGCUUUUUCUCUCAAGAUUUAUGACUGUCAAAGACUGAACAGUACAAAUUAUAUCAAUUUCGGUUUUCCUAGAGAGAGGGGCCUUUUGUGGUCAUCUGAAUGUUAGACUCCCAGGCCAGAGGAUCCCAGUCAUAGUUUGGGUGGGGGUGGGGCAGGGGCAGAGGAAGUGGGUGGUGCUUCACAGUGACAGAUUAUUGCAGAUUAUCUGGCUGCCUGCCAAAAAUGCCACCAGUCAAGGGAAAAGUGGAAGUUACUAACUGCAUCCUAUUAAUUUGUGCAUGUUUAUUUAACCAGUCCUAACAGUUUCCUGGUUGCAUACGCUCCUGAGUGACUUGACAUAUGCUUAAUCUUAUGUUCUCUAGUUUCCCGUGGUCAUAUUCCUUAUCUCUGGUCUGCAAAGAUCAUACUGACCCUUUUGUGGAAGGCCACGUGUUAGCUGAAAAAAGAAGGGGGAGGGGAGGCAGAAUUUAAAACCACAGCUGCUUUAUUGUUUAUUUAAGAAUGUUGCAGAACUAAGAUGUAAGGAUGUCCCAUCACAUUUAGACUAUUACAGAAAAUACUCAAAAAAAAAAAAAUGAUCCUCUCCUGUGAAGGAGUAAGUAGCUCUAGAUUGUUCUGGUUCAGUUAGAAAUUGAUAUUCUUACUGUUGCAACAUAAAAGGAAGCUUUGUGGAGGAAAUAUGACAUCUGUGCCCAGAUGCAUAAGGAGGGAAUUACAGUGGAGAGUUAUUUUUAGAAGUGUCUUAUGAAUAUAUUUUUUGUACUGAGAAGUGCCUUUAGAAGGUUAGUUUACUGGCAGGAGUUACACAAGUUGCUCAGGUCACUGAAUAAUCUAAGAAAAUACUUUUAAAAGAAUUAUCAUGUCACCAACUAGCCUAGUUCAUCUACUAAUUUAAGUAGCAGCAUUGUUUUAUUUAGUUAUUUUUUGGUACUAGCGAUUGAACCAAGGGGCACUUAAUCCCGGAGCUACACUCCUAGCCCUUUUUGUUUUUUAUUUAGAGGCAAGGUCUCACAGAGUUGCUUAGGACCUCGCUAAAUUAUUGAGGCUGUCCUCCUGCCUCAGCCUCCCAGGUUGCAGGGAUUACAGAUGUGCACCACUGUACCUGACAUUGUAUUUUUUUUUAAUAUAACCAAACUGAGGAUAUGGAGAUUCUGUGGAUAUCAUCAAAUAGUAUACGUCAUAUAAAUUGUUCCACUGAAAGAAGGGCCUGUACAACUCCCAAUUCAUAGUGAGGUCCCACUGCUCUUCCUGAAGAGAGUGCAGUGUUUUCAGCUGAAGGAGCCAGGCAGCCUACCAUUUGUGUCACUGACAACACAGCUCUUGGAUCUGGUGCCCCUCUCUAACCUUACACGGUGACAGCAUGCCCAGCUUCCUUAUAUUUCCUACUUUUGGUUUUGAUCACUUAUAUUUGGAGUUGGCACCAUAACAACUUACAGGAGCAGGACAGAUGAAUGUGUCUGCCAUCUGCUAGUUUAUGACCUUGUACAGAUCCUUUAAUGUCCUUGAAACCUCAGUUUCUUCAACUAUUAAGUGGACAUUAACCACAGCGUCCACCUUACACAAUUGCUGCAAUGAUUAAAUGAAAUAAUGUGUGGAAAGCACAAAGUUGGUCACACGUGACAAAGGAGUGAUAAUGGUGAUGUUCCCUGUUGUUCUUUUUGGCUAUUCCAAUCCUCUUCCGUGGCUCCACCAGGAAAUGAUCAUGAGCAGAGAGAUAAUAACACAUGAAACAUGCACAGGCCAUAGAAUCAGUGUUAUAAUGACAGAAAAAUUCAGCAAAUACCGCAGGACCACAUGAAUGACAUCCACUGAGUGAGCCAUUCCUCUAACUAUAUUUUGUGCUGCCCAUCCUAAGGGGGUGGCAGAAAAGGGGCCAUUGGCUGUAGAUUUAAUAAUGAUUAGUCAAAAUGGUUCCAUGGUCCAACAUAUUUAUCUUUAGCAACAUUUUUCUCUUUCACUUAAGAGAAUUUCCUCCCGGUUGGAUAGAACUCAGGAAAUCGAAGUGGCAAAUUGUUGAUUUUCUUUUUAAAUUCAUUUUUCCUAGGGUAUGUGCAUGUUUGUGUAUUCAUUUUCUUCUGAGCAGACCACUAUCAGAAAAAGUUAGGACUGUGUCUUAAGAUCAGCUAAAAAAGACAAGUUUUUGUUCUUUGCCUUGGUGAAACCAGACCACAGAGAAUAUAUAUUUGAGCAUAAAGAAGAAUGUUUUUCUGUUUCUGCUCUGCGUCCCUAGGGGUUCACUGUCCUGUGAUGGGUCAGCUAACUUCAUUCAUGAAUUGAAAACAAUACAGCUAAUUCUUACAUAAGCAAAUUUUUAUGGAACGUGUUAGCAAAGCAGAUGUAAAAUUUGAGGGACACCUGCAAUAAAUUGAAUAAACCAAACACUGAAACUGCCUCUAUCCUACUUGAAAGAUGUUUAGCCUUUGUGAACAUAUUUCUAGGGCUUGAAGUUUCUGGGUGUUAAUCUGUAGCCUAACCCUUCUGCCCUGUGGCCUGCUCCUGAAUUAGUCUGUCUUUUCCCCAUUUCUGGUAGCCCCUAACUUUAUAUUCGCAACAUUGCCACCUAGAUACCCUGUGUGUUUGGGUCCCUGUCCUAAAGCUCCCUCAAGAUCCUUCUUUACACCUCCUUCCAGUGGGCCACUCCCCUGUGCAGGGAGCUUCAGUGGCUGGCGGUUUUCCACUACAUUACAUCCACCUCCUUCUGUCUUACUGUCAACACCCUUCCUAAUCUGUCCCCACACUGUUCAUCCCGCUUCAUUUCCUGUAUACUUGGACCCAUCCUUGCUGGUCUCUGAAGUCAGCCUCUCAAACAUGGAGUCUCUCAAACUUGGAGUCUGUGCUUUUGGUGCUGCUAUUUACUGGAUCCAAAAAGCCCUCCUCCGGAGAACCUCUGCCUGCUCCUUUCCUUCAAGACCCUGUGACAAGUUCACUUUCUGUUUGAAGCCUUCCCUAUUUAAUCUCUUACUGUUUUUGCUGCAAACUCCCAGGGAAUUUUUAAAAAAUAUUUUGUUGGUUGUCCAUGGAUCUUUAUUUAUUUAUAUGCAGUGCUGAGAAUCGAACCCAGCGCCUCACACAUGCUAGGCAGGUGCUCUAGCACAGAGCCCCAGCCCCUGCCCUGCAAACUCUCAGGUGAUUUUUUAAUUGCACAAAGCAAUGAACAAAAAUGUGUGUGGCGUCGUAUAUUAUUCGCUAUUAUAUCUUCACUCAUGUAAAGAUUUUGAAUAUAGGGCCUUAUCUUACAGUUAUAACUUUCACAGUUCCUAUCAUUGGUAUCUACCAUUUGAAGGGAAAGAAGACAAAGUAGAUUUAUUCCAUCAUGUCUACCGAAAUCAAGUCAGUAAUCCUGGUGAUGCUGAAGGGAUCCGGAUAUUUUUCCAAAUGGGGCCAAGUUUAAUAUAAAGGAAAAUGAUUUUGUAUUUGGUUAUAGAUUGAUAUCUUUGCUUUUCUCUAUGAAAAACUAUGUAUAUGUAUGCAAAUAAGUACAUAUACACAUACAUAUGGGUUUUUUUUUCUUUAUUUAUUUCUUUUAUGGUGCCUGGGCCUUGUACAUGCUAAGCCUGUGCUCCACCACUGAGCUGUACUCCCAACUUCUGUCUUUGAAGGGAUACUGAAAUUAAUUGUAAAAGAACACUGCUUUCAAAAAUUAAAAAAAAUAAAUAAAUAAAAAUAAAGAAGAAAAGAAAAAAAAAAAAAAACACCCAAUCUGCAGGAAAACUCUAUUAGGGAAGAUGAAAUAUAGCUUAAACAUAGGAAUGCUUGUUACUUAAGUUGGGUGUUUUUUGCCUCAGUUGUCAAUUAGUCAUCUAUCUUUUGAAAUACAUUCCUUUGUAUUGAUUGCAAAGAGCAUUUAGGACACCCAAAUAAACAUAAAAACCUUAAAGUGCAAAAUGGAUAAGAACAUAGAGACACUGUCUAGUUAAUGCUUUGAUUUGCAUUAAAGUUUGGUUUUGGAUGCAGCCAGUAAUACCAUGCUUCUUGUACAUUUAUUCAGUAAAUAGUGACCAUUUACUUGUGUCAGGCUGUGUACUAGUUCUGAAUAACACUGUCUUUUACUUAAUUAAUAAGCAGAAAAUCAAACUAUUUGGCUAGUGCAAUGCUGUAAAGACCCAUAUGAUUGAUGCUAGAAAAACAUACAGAAAGCGCACUUAAUUGAGUUAACCUAAUAUAAAAAUGCCUUUUUUAAUAAAUUCCUGGUUAGCCUUAAACAUACCUUGUAAAAUAAGACCAGCCAUUAACUCCACAGUUUAGACCACAACAAUAAUAGUUGCUGAUUAUCGAGCAGUCAGUGAUGCCAGGCGUUGCAAUUUGUGCUUUAUAUGCUAAAAUAUCUCAGAAGGCAUUGAUGGCUUCUUCUAUGUGUGGACACAGGUGUGCUUGCACACACACCCACACUCUAAGGGGAUGUGCCCUGAUGUUCAGAGAGGUUAGGUGUUUUCUCAAGGUCAGUAGCAGAAUCUAGACUUGAACUCAGUCCUGACCUGUGUUCCUAACUAUUGUACCGUGCUUCCUCUGUAUUUUUAAAAUCCAUCCAUGUCGUAGCAUGCUUCAGUACUUCACUCUUUUUACUGCAAAAUAAUAUUCCAUUGUAUGGACAGACCACAUUCUGUUCAUCUCUUCACCAGUUGAUGGAUGUUAGAGUUCUUUCCACUUUUUGGCAAUUUAUGAAUAAUGCUGCAGUAAACAUCCAUUUACAAGUUUUUGUGUGAACGUGUUUUAAUUCCCUUGGGUAUAAUUCAAAUGAACAUGCCUUUAAAUGGUUUCUUUUGAGUCAUUUAUUCAAUAUCUCUUCACAUACAUACACACACACACACACAAACACACACACACACACACGAAUACUGUUUGUUUAGCUGAUUUAUUUGCUAGGCCUUUUCCUCAGAAAUAAAGUAGAGGCAGGCUUAUGCUCAGAUGCUGGCCAGGUAGUCCUUCAUUCCAGAUGAACAGCCUGAAUUUAACUGCUACCUUGAAGGCACUGUGGAGAACAAAUAAUAAAGACUCCAACUGUUAGUCAUAUUCAGUUAAUGAAAUUAAGAAGUGAGCAUGCCCUUUAAAAUCAAGGCAUGGGACAUCAACACCAUCAAGAAGUUGUCAAAGACUUUCUGUGUGUGAGGAGGGAAGCCAUGACUUCUGUCACUUGGAAAUGGAGUCUGAAUGAGUCUCGAAUGCCCGUCAGUUUUUCUGCAGAUAGGGUGGGACAUAAUCAAUGUAUUUUUUAGCCCUGUUCAGACAUUGUGAACAAGUGCAGAAUACUUAAGGACAGGGACAAAUCAAAGGCCUUUGAAUCACAUACCAAGAGUUUGAACUUUGAACGGUAGAUAGUGGGGAGCCAUUUAAGAUAUUUGAAUAGAAGAGACAGAUGCCAUCAGAGCCUUUGAAAGACUACUCCAUGGACCGUUUGUAGACUGACUUAGAGGAAGAAAGAGAUUGGGAACGAGAACUUGGACUGGUAAUGAGUUUCCAGAACUAGGCCAGCCUCAGUGGAAAAAAGAAAAGCAGCUUGGGAGAGAUUUAUCGAGGGCAUUAAGAGCUUGGGAGCUAAAAACGCAGGAGUGGAUCAGAUGAACCAGAGAAAGCGUAGCGAGCUGAGCCCAGCACGGGCGUUUGCCAUAAGAGGGGAGAGGAGGAGGACCAGUAGCCAGCAGGUGGUUGGAAAGGAGCUCAGGAGCACCAAAGCAAGAAGGAAGAGCCUUGCAAGGAGGUGCUGCCUUGAGGUUACAGAAGGUAGGAGCCCAGGAGAAUCCUCUUUGUAUUUGGAGAUGAGGCGGCUGGAGCUGGGGAGCUUGCUUCCCAUGAGGGAGGCUGCCCCCUCCUUCCCUCAGCAGACCAGACCUUGAGCAGACUCAGGCCAGAAAGUAAGCGUGGAUAAGGAGAAAAGUAAAGAUUUAAGAAAAACAAUGGAAAGAGAAGGUCAAGGGAUCAAGAAUUAAGAGGCCAGUUGUUCUUGUUCUUUUGAGGUAGUUAACCUGAAAAGAAGAGGGAGGGAUGAAGGUAAGUAUUGCAGGAAUUUCAAGGUGAAUGGAGAAAAGUUGAAGAAACUUAUGUUGAAAGGCUUGCUUUAGAAUUUACGGUAUUACUGCUGCUUGGUUUUUUGGAGUUUUGUUUUGUUUUGUGUUUUGGUACCAAGGAUUGAACCCAGGGGCGCUCAACCACUGAGCCACAUCCCCAGCCCUUUUUUAUUAUUUAUUUUGAGACAGGGUCUCAAUAAGUUGCUUAGGACCUUGCUAAAUUGCAGAGGCUGGCCUCAAACUUGGGAUCCUCCUGUCUCAGCCUCCCAAGCCACCGGGAUGACCCGUGUGAGCCACCACACUUGGCAGUAUUAUUGCUUUUUAGUAGUACUACAGAUAGACUAGUGAGAAUUAGAAAAUACCUUGUAUUACCUCAAGGAUAUAUAGGAAGAUUAAUCUCCAUCCUCCCAUUCUCUAUAAAUAUUUCAUUCUUGGUGAUGGAUUGAACGUAUCUUUGCUCAUUCUUUUAAAUGCACCGGCUCCUAAAAGCAGUUACAUGGUGUAAUUAUAUGGACCACUAGUUAGGCCCAUUGAGUCCAGGUUUCUUGUGAUUAUUCAAGGUGUGCAUUUUGAGGGCUAAUAUUAGUGGGAAAUCAAGUACAGUAUUUUGUUUCAAAGUUAGUUCAUAAUCAUCAGUUUAAGUAUUUUUAUACAAAUGCUUUUCUCUUUCUAAAAGAUGCCCCCAAAUAAUAUUUUGUAUUUUCUGUAGAAUAUUAAUUUAUUAGUAAUCUGUUCUAUAGUGUAGCAGGCACUGUGAUGACAUCUGCAGAAGUAAUGAUGACUGUGUAUCACUUUGAAAUUAUAAAUUCCCUGUCUUCAGAAGUGAUAAAAAUCAGUUCUUUGUUAGUCCUGGAGCUGGGGGUUCCCAAUAAUAAGGCCUCGAAAAUGCAGAUGUGGAAGCAAAGAUCUCCCUUCUUCUUCUUAACUCUUUUUUUUCCUCUCUGCAACCAAAGACAGGAAGUCCUAGCUCUUUUUUUGUGUGUGGAGGGAGCAGUACCAAGGAUUGAACUCAGGGGCACUAGACCACUGAGCCACAUCCCUAGUUCUAUUUUGUAUUUUAUUUAGAGACAAGGUCUCACUGAGUUGCUUAGCACCUUGCUUUUGUUGAGGCUGGCUUUGAACUUGACAUCCUCCUGCCUCAGCCUCCUGAGCCACUGCAAUUACAGGUAUGUGCCACCGCACAUUUUUUUUAAAUACUUAAAAAAAUUUAGUUGUAGAUGAACACACAGUAUCUUUAUUUAUUUUUAUGUGGUACUGGGAUUGAACCCAGUGCCUCACACAUCUGAGGCAAGCACUGUACCACUGAGUUACAGCCUCAGCCCCUCUUAUAUCUUUUUUAAACAACUGUACAAGUAAUGCAUUCUUUUUGCAAAAUUAUCAACAGAAAACACAUGUGAGCAAUUGAAACAUAAAAAAUUAUAUUCUAUUCCCAGAUAUACUUGACAUGUAACUUUCCAGACUUUUUUUUUUUAGAUCAAGUAUUUUUAAAAAUAGUAAUUAGUAUGGGUUCUCUUGCAUAUAUUAUUUUAUAAGUUGCUUUCUUUCAUUUGAACAGAGUACCACCAUUUCAACAAAUAUUCAUCUUUCUACCUCAAAAGAUACUUCUUCCAAUUCAUUUCAAGCCUGCAGUGUUGUGGAUUUUUUUCACAGUCACUGUUCUUGCAAAGGGUUCUAAGAGCUCCUUGGUCAUUCUCCAAUAUAGACUCUAGGUUGCUCUCCAGUCACAAGAAGAUUCUACAGCAGAUAGACCAUGACAAUGUGGUUUCUAGGAACUUUUUUUUUUUUUUUAAACCAGGGCGAGUAAAUGCCAUUAUUUCCCUGGGUGUGGUAACAAAGGCACUCACUGUAUCUCCUUUUUUCUCCACCCUCCAGAAACACAUUCCAGUUUCUAUCAGUCCCAUCCAGUAGCAAGGACUUGAAGGGAUGCCUCCUUAUCUCCCUGAGCACAUGGCUCUCUGCUUAAUCUUCAUUUGUGCUCCAGACCAGCUCCAGACCAGCUCCAGCUACACUUCUCCUAGACUGUCACCAGCCUUCCUUCCUUCCUUCCUCUCCUAUUCCAACCUAUUCCGAUUCUUCUGUUGUUAGUAUUCAAAUUUUGCACUCAAAUCUCAUGAUUUGGAGCCCUUUAAGAAUGUCACUCAGAGAUGAGAAAUGUUAGCGUAUCCAAAGUAACCAAUAACUGCAGACUUUUAGUUCAUGGAUAUUUCUUGUCCAUUAUUCUAAGGGCUGUAUUUCAGCCUCCUUAAUCUAAUCUACUUUAAGUUUUACGUUUCUAGCCUGAUCUGACCCUCAAAUAUAGAUUUUCAUUCUCAUAUUCAGUCGAAGCUGCUUUCGAAAAAUAGAUAUGGCUCAGUAAACUUUUGCUAAGUUUUAGUUAGUGACUAAGUGAUUGCAUAUGCUAAGCUUAUGAAAUUUCCUAGUGAUCCUUAACUAGCCAGCACCUUGGAAAAGCAGAUUAAAGUUCUAAUUAUCCUUGACAAGGUGAAAGGGUAGAUGGGCAUUAACAAAAGAAAAAUCACUAAAGACAUUCUAUGAGUGAUUUAAUAAAGGACUAAAGAAAUACACACACACACACACACACACACAUAUAUAUAAACAGGCUACAAACUUUGACAAAAAGGGAAAUAAAUAGUACUAAGUAUGGAAAACUAAAAUAUUAUCAUUUCUAAAGCCAUUUAACAGAAUUAGUAUUCAUUUACCAUGAUUUGUUUUGCAGUUAAGAGGAUUCUUUGAGAGAUUCCACUGUUUCAAAUAUGCAUUGAGGGAGAGGCAUGUGCAAAUGGUAAAAACAGGAUCCUAAGAUCAAAAAGUUCGAAUUGCACAUAUCCUUCGUGUUAUUGAACAUAUAAGUGACACUGUCAAUACUGCAUUUCUUAGCUGACAUUUCCAAAACUGUCAGAAUAUGCAUAGGUAUUUAUGUGAACACUAUUUCCUUUAUGAGCCAGGUAAGAUGGAUAGAUGUGUUAGAAUGUGGUAUCCAAUUUACCCCUGUAUUUUUGUUUGAUAACUGAACAAAUCAACCCUGUAAUGGCCUCACUGGAAUCUAGUGGAUUCUGUUUACUAUGACUCCUGCUUUCACUUUGUUUUAAAAUAAUAAGAGGUUGAAUUUAAAAACAUUUUUUUCCUUUGUCAUAGAUGGACACAAUACAUAUAUUUUAUUUAUUUAUUUUUAUGUGGUGCUGAGGAUCUAACCCAGAGCCUCACACAUGCUAGACAAGCGCUCUACCACUGAGCUACAGCCCCAGCCCCUCGAAGUUUUGUAUUUUGGUAAAUCAGGAAAAUAGACAGUACACAGGAUAAAGAACAAUUCAUACAUUAGGGGUUUUAGGAGAAAAUGAGUGAAGUCAAUCUAAGCAAUAAAAAUGAACAGGAUUGAAAUCAGAGCAUUGUUGGUAUUUAAAUUUGUUAGGUUUAUACUGGUUUGGGUUUGUUUGGGUUGUUUAGGAUUUUGUUUAUAUUGUAGAGCUUGGAACAAAUAAAUUCUAGGGAAUUUUUUUCACAUGACAGUAGAGUAUAUUUUGAAAUAUUGUACAUACAUAGAAUAAGUUAAGUAUAACUUGUUCCAAUUAGGAUCUUUAGGGAUUUUUUUUUUUUUUUUUUUUUUAGAGAGAGAGGAGAGUGAGAGAGUUUUUUAAUAUUUAUUUUUUAGUUUUCGGCGGACACAACAUCUUUGUUUGUAUGUGGUGCUGAGGAUCCAACCUGGGCCACAAGCAUGCCAGGCGAGCGCGCUACCGCUUGAGCCACACCCCCAGCCCCUCUUUAGGAAAUUUUUAUAGGACUGAGUUUAAAAAACUUUUUCAAAAAUCCCCUUCUCUAAAUUGCUACCUUUAAGUAUUUCCUUUAAGCUAAUUAAUGCUUUAAUUUGGUGUCAUUCUAGUUAUUUUAGUGUGCAAAAUGUUCCUAAUACAGGUUCCUACAUAUAUGAAAUACUCAAGAAGUAUUUUUUAAUUGUUUUACUGGGCAUUCUAAUUCUUAGGUUUAAUGUAAAGUGUCACAUACAUGGAUUGUGCUCAGACUCCUGAUUUUCCAUUCAAUUUUUUUUUUUUUGCUUCUAAUUAGUGAAUUUACUGUACUGUGAAGUGCUACCUAGAAUUUACCAGUAGAUGUGCAAGGAACCACUAUGUAAUAAUUAAAAAAAAAAAAAAAAACCUAAGAACUACUAUUUAAACUUGAUAUGCACAUUUCAGAAGACCUAUUAAUUCCUAACUAAGGUUUAGAAUAGCUCAUACCAGUGUACCAUCACAUAGUUUAUAUUGCAUGUUUUACUUGUUGAUAGCCCACAAGGCCAUUUGUUCUAGUAUUUGCUGAGGAAAGACUCUGGCAUGCUUCUGUGCAUGAUAGGUGUCCAGCUUUAUUACUUCAAAUCUUGAGCUAAAUGUACUACUUUAUUACUUGUAAAAUAAGGUCAUUUCAACACGUCAAAGGAAAUACCAACUUUACCAACCUUUAUAAAACGAUCAAAUUCAAAGUUAUUUCCUGUUACACUACUAAAACUGCUCCUGAUCAUAUUUGCAGGGAGUGUCUGAGAACCAACGAGAACUUGGUCUGCAGCAUUAGCAGGUGGUAUCCUCGUGGUGCCCUUCUCACUGGGAGCACCUAGAUUACCCUAAUAUCAAAGCUGCCUACUUUCUGAGAUCAGGAAGCCACAUGAUCCCUUCCAACUCUGAAAUCCUGUGAUCUCGAGCUAAUUUCAGAUGAAAAAACAAGUAUUGGGCCAAAAUAAAAGAGAAAAUAUGAAGCAAACAAAUGAGAGAUCAUAGAAGGGUUUUGUUAGCAGGGUUUAUUAAACUUCCUCAAAAAAAAAAUUGUAUUAUAAACUAUGAGUGUUAAAGGAAAGGUUUUGAAAAAAGACAAAAAUGAAAUCACCCCCACUUUCCCUAAGUGUGCUUAAUUUGACCAGGUGUCCAGACUUUGAUAGCACAGCAAGUCAACAGUGCUCAGCGAGGGUGACUUCCUCUGAUUCUUUACUCCUGUUAUAUUGGAUAUAAGUAUUUAAAUUCAUUAAAACAUUUACUUUUUCAAAUAUGUUGAAUUAUUGCUAUUAAAACAAUAGUCGGACACAUUAACUAGCUGCAACAUUUGGACAUAAUUUAGACUUAUACAGAAACAAUAGAACAAAAUUUAUAAGGCAUUCUGGAAAAUGUGAAAUUUUGGUUUUUGUAUUUGGUGAUGUUAAAGAAUUCUUGGUAAAUAUUUGGAUGUAUUAAUGGUGUACUUAUGUUUUUUAAAAAAUCGUGGUGUGUGUGUGUGUGUGUGUGUGUGUGUGUGUGUGUUGCCUUGUAGGUGCUAAGGAAGCACUCUACCACUAAGCUCCCCCCAGCUCUAGUCUGUGUCUUUUAAACAUACAUGCUGAAUAUUUACAGAUGAAAAACAUACUUAGGAUUUAUUUCAAAACAUGGGUGGUGUGGGAAAUGGGUGGGUCGCGAGGCCAUGGCUGGUAAAGGUGGGCAUGAGGCAGUCCAUCCUGCUUUUCCGUUUACUUUUCCUUAUGUUUAACAUUUUCCAUAGUAAAAAGAUCUCAAAAAUAACAUUUAAUAUCCAUCUGUGAGGUUUACAAAAACUAUUUAAAUAUCUCUGUUCCUUGUAAAAUGAAGCAAAAAAAAAUACCUACAAAAAUGAUUUUCUUUACAUAGAAGAAUAUGUUCUUUUCAUAAUCAUUUUCUCUUUGUACUUCGUACUCCUGAAUUUCUCUUUGCUGUUAGAAAUUUGUCAUGUGGAGCCAGGUAUGGUGGUGCACACCUGUAACCCUAGCUACUCUGGAGGCUGGGGCUGGAGGAUCACAAGUUCAAGGCCAGUUUGGACAAAUUAGCAAUACCCUGUCUCAAAAUUUAAAAGGCUGGGGAUGUGGCUCAGUGGUACAGUGCUUGCUUAGUAUGUGUGAAGCCCUGGACUUAGUCCCCAGUACCAAGAAAAAAUAUUGUCACAUGGUAUGAAAAGAAAGCCAGGGGAAUAAGGAGUCACUUUAUUGAAUCCAAAAUUAAUUGUUUUUUAAUUUUUUGGGGGGGUGGGGAUACUGGGUUUGGAACUCAGGGGCACUCAACCACUGAGCCACAUCCCCAGCCCUGUUUUGUAUUUUAUUUAGACACAGGGUCUCACUGAGUUGCUUAGCAUGUCACCUUUGCUGAGGCUGGCUUUGAACUUGCGAUUCUCCUUCCUCAGCCUCCAGAGCUGCUGGGAUUACAGGCGUGCACCACUGCACCUGGCUAUUUUGUUUAUUUUUAUGUGGUGCCAACAAUCAUACCCAGUGCCUCACAUGUGCUAAGGCAAGCACUCUGCCACUGAGCUACAGCCCCAGCCCCCAGAAUUAAUUAUAUUUAACUCCUUUGCUCUUCUUCCCACUCCAACCUGCUAGAGUUUAUUUUUUUAGGGGAAGAAGAGGGGUAGCACUGCCAACCUAUUACAUUAUAGAGUUACCAUUCCACUGGUUCUACAUGUUGUCAUAACCAUUGCAUUUAUAGAAAUAUACAGAAUGUACGGAAAAUAUUUAGUUAUUCUCUGUAGUUCAGGUUUUCAAUUCAUUCUCUCUGGAGGUCAAUAUUUUAAUUACUGAAACUCCAUGGUUUUUCUUGCUAAAAUAGCCACUACAUUUUUAGGGGAAAUAAGUGCAAUUCCUCAAUAUCAUGAAUAGUAUGUGAAAGUGAUAAUUUUUGUAAAGCUCAAAAUAUUAAUAAAGUUGACCACUACCUUGCCAGAUUUCAUGAACUCUGAAGAGCUGUUUAAGAUUUAAAAUUGUUUAAAACUGGGAAAAGAAGAUCUGAAACUAAAAACUGUAAAGCGGUAUGCUUGUAUUGGAAGAUUGCAAAAAAGAGCAACUAAAAUGUUCAAUAAAAUGUUCUACUUCCCAGCCCUAUGAUAUGAUUCAUUACGCAGACUUAAAGAUAACCACGUUGCAAACCUUUUGGGCCAGGACUUAGGAAGACCUCACUUCCACUAAUGCAGUGCACUUGGGGAUGGAGUUUUCUGGUUAAGUUGAAGGUUAUGAAAAGCAGACUUUUCCUGCCCCUCCAGGCUCUGCCUUUGUAUCUCAGCUCCUCUCUCCUCCCCGCUGUGCAGCCAUUCACUGGCUUCAGAGCUCACUUUCUAAAAGACAAAUGGGAUCAUCCUUCCCUGGCUUCAGAAACUCCAGUGUGGCCGCAUGCUUCACUUGUGAGUCCAAAUUGCCUUAGUGUCGCAUCCACAGUCAGGCUUCUAGAUUGAUCCUCUAACACUUCAGUAGAGAGCUGUGGGCUCCAGCACGCCGGGCUCUUGGCUGGUCCCAGGGAGUGCUGUGCUUUUCCUAAUCCCCUGUUAUGUCCAGCGCUCUGUUCUCUCUGCCUGGAAUGGUUUUCCUCCUCUUCCGUCUCACAUCUUCUAAGACCCAGCUGACCCCCAUCAUGGAGGCCUCUCCAGACCUGGCCAGUUGUGCCUUCCUCUGUUUCACAGACAUUCUUCAUCAAGUCACAACUUUUUCUAUUAUAUUAUAACUAUUUAGGGCUGUUUAGCACCUCUUCUGUUGAUUGAUUCAGUCAAUCAUUCAUGCAUUUAUGAGGUGUUAACUGAAUGUUCCAGGCACUCUGUGUGGUACUGUAGAUAGAAUGAUAAUUAAAAUUGUCACUAUCUUUGCCCUCUGUUAGUGAAAGACACAUAUUUUAAAUAAAAAAUGGCAACAACCCUCCCCGAAAAAAAAUAAGGCAAGCCAAAGUGCAACAGGUGUGUCCUGCAGUUCCAGUCACUCAGGAGGCUAAGGCAGGAAGACCACUGGAACCCAGGAGUUGAGGCCAGCACAGGCAACACAAUGUGACCUAUAUAAUCACCACUGUGACAUUUGUGAAGGUAAGAUCUCUAAUCAGUACCCAUCCUCUGUCUCCCCACCACUCCACUAAUACAAAAAACAGUGCCUCACACCUGAGAGCAACUGAAAAAAAUGGUUAAAGGAGUGAAUGAUAGCUGGGCAUGGUGGCACAUGCCACAAUACUGGCUACGGGGACUGAGGCAAGAAGGGUUGCAAGUUCAAGGCCAGCCUGAACAAUUAGCCAGACCCUUUCUCCAAAUGAAAACUGGCAAAAGGCCUGGGGAUGAUGAAUCUCAGUAGUAGAGCACCCCUAGGUUCAAACCACAGUACCCACACACAGAAAAAGGAGAUGAUAAGUAUGUAGCCAUAUGUGAACUACAUGUUUUUUUUUAUAUUAAACUUUUUAGUUUGAAAUAAUUGUAGAUGAUUCACACAGUUAAUAAAUAAAACAGAGAGAUCCCAUGUACCGAUUACUUGAUUUCCCCAACAAUAACAGAGUGCAGUAUCAUAACCAGGAUAUUGAUAUUGCUACAAUUUUCUGGUCUUGUUUGAGUUUCUUGUUUUAUAGUCUGUGUGUGUGUGUGUGUGUGUGGGUCUAUAAAUUUUUCUCAUGUGCAUCUAUACCACAGUCAGGAUUAGGGCAGUUCUAUCACUAGACUGCGUCACCAUACCUACUUCCUUCUCAUCUCCCAUCCCCCACCAUCUGUCAUUAACCCCUUGGCAAUUGCUGAUCAGUUCUCUAUGUUCAUAAUUUUGUCAUUUCAAAAAUGUUAUAUAAAUGGAUAAAUAUAGUGUGAAACCUUUAGGAACUGACAUUUUUUCACUCAGUAAAAUUCUCUAGAGAUUUAUCCAAGUUGUUGUAUGUAGCAAUAGUUAUACCAUUUUAUUGCUGAGUAGCAUUUCAUAGGAUGGAUGGAUGAUAAUUUAUUUACUCAUUUAUCCUCUGAAGGACAUCUGGGUGUUUCCACCUUUUGAUUAUUGAGAACAAAGCUUCUAUGAACAUUUAUGUGCAAGUUUUACUGGGAGCAUAAACUUCCAUUUCUCUGGGAUACAUGCCUAGGAAUGCAGUGGUUUGAUCAUGUGGAAAUUGCAUAUUAAGUUCGAUAAAAAACUGCCAUACUGCACCAUUUCACAUGUAAAAGAAAGAUGGAAGAAAGAACUAGUUUCUCAUGGCCUCACUGGUAUAUGGUGUUGUCACUAAUUUUUUUUUUUUUUAAUUUUAGCCAUGCUGAUAGGAAUGCAGUAAUAUCUCAUUGUAAUUUAUCUGUUUUUGUGGUCCUGGGGGUUGAACCCAGAGCACUCUAUCACUGAGCUACAUCCCUUCCCUUUUUCAUUUCUUUAUUUUGAGACAGGGUCUCACUAAGUUGCCCAGGUUGGCCUCCAACUUACAAUCUUCCUGCCUCAGCCUCCCAGGUGACUGCGUGUCACUGCACCCUGGUCCACUGUAGUCUUAAUUUAUUUUCCUAAUGGUUAUUGAAGUUGAACAUCUUUUCAUGUGCUUAUUUUUCAUUCGGAUGUCCUCUUCAGUGAAAUUUCUACAUACAUCUUUUUCUGAUUUUCUAAUUGGAUUUUUUUUUUUGCUUUUAUAUAGUGUUGAGUUUUGAGAGUUCUUAUUCUACAUACUAACCCUUGAUUAAAUAUGUCUUUUGUAAAUAUUUUCUCUGUCUGUAGCUGUCUUUUCAUUGUUUCAUGUGUGUUUUGCAGAACAAGGGUUUUAAAUUUUUAUUUGGUACAAUUUACCCGUUUUUGUUUUUUUCUUUAAUGAGCUCAUAGUUUUGAUGUUAAGUCUAAGAAUUACCUGUUGCUAGAUCCCAAAGAUUUUUUCCUAUUUUUGUUCUAAAUACUUUAUAAUUGAUGUUCAUAUAUUUUAACUGUAAUAAUUUGGGGUUAAUUUUUUAUAGACAUGAAGUUUCAAUCAAGGUUUAUAUUUUUUGCUUAUGAAGGUCCUAUUGUGCUAGCAGCAUUUGUUGAAAAGGUGUCCUUCCUCCAUUAGGGACUCCUUUGUCAAAAAUCAAGUGGGUGUAUUUGUGUGUAUCUGAUUCUGAGUUCUCAUUCUGUUCAAUUGGUCUAUGUAUCUGUCUCCACCAGCACCAUACUGUCUUGAUUACUAAUGCUACAUAGUAAGCCUUAGAAUUGGUUCAAACAAUCCCUGAUAUCUAGUCUUCAUUUCAGAAAUGUCCAGUUAUUCUAGUUCUAUUGUCUUUUCAUUUAAAUUUUAGAAAAAGCUUGCCUAUGUAUACAAACAUCUUUACUAGGAUUUGGAUUGAAAUUGCUUUAAAAUAAUCGAUCAAUUUGGGGAGAAUUGGCAGCUUUUCUGUGUUGAGGCUUUUGAUCUGUGAAUGUGGUGUCUCUUCAUUUGCUUAGGUUUAUUUCUUUCGUCAACAUUUUCUGAUUAUCAGCAUGCAUAUUAUGUAUGUGUUUUGCUUUUGGUUUUUCUUGUGUUGCUACAGAUUGAACCCAGGGCCUUGAGCUAGCUGCUAGGCAAGGACUCUACUGCUGAGCUAUCCCAGCCCCUAGGUACAUGUUUGUUAAGUUUAUAACUAAGUGCUUAAAUUUCUUUGGAGUGAUCAUAAAUGGUAUCAUCCAAAAUUUUCAGUUUUUGCAUGCUUAUUAUUAGUAUAUAGAAAUGAUUUUUUAUGAGUUUAUCUCAUAUCCUGUGACCUUCUUCAACCCACCUAUUAAUUCUAGUGUUUUCAGACAUCUUUGAGAUUUUCUUUGUAGUAAAUUGUUAUAUGCAAAUAGGGACAGUUUCAUUUAUUGUUUCAAAAUCUGCAUGCUUUUUUUUUCUUUUUAGUUUUUAUUUAUUUGGUUUUUGUUUUGUUUUGUUUUUUGCCUAAUUGCCCUGGCUCAGACUUCCAAUACAAUGUUGAAUACAAGUGUCAAGAGCAGACACCCUUAUCUUGUUCCUGCUCAUAGGUGGAAAGCAUCCAAAUUUUCACCAUGGAAUACUGUGAAUCUGAUAUGAUAAUCCAAUGUUAUCAUUUUUUGUAGCUGUUCUUUAUCAAGUUGACGUCAUUGUCUUGUGUUCUUUACUUGCUGAGAGUUUGUGUGUGGGUUUGGGUGUGGAUGUUCUGCAUCAGAUGAAGUGAUCAUAUGAGUUUUCAUCUUUAGUCUGUGGAUGAGGUGGAUUACAUGAGUUGAUUUUCAAAUACCGAACCACUCUCACAUACUUUAAAUAAAUUCCUCUCCUUUAUGGUCUAUAAUUAUUUUGAUAGAGUGUUGGAUUAAAUUUGCUGAUAUUUUGUUGAAGUUUUUUUGGGUUUGGGUUUUUUUGGGUUUAUUUUUAGUUUUUUUGCAGUACGGAACUAGACCCAGGGCCUCACAAUGCCAGGCAAGUGCUUUACCACUGAGCUACCCCCACCCCAGCUCAGUAUUUGUUGAGGAUUUUUAUGUCUAAGUCCAUGAGAGGUUAUUAGUUUGUAAUUUUCUUUCUUCCUUUUUUCUCUCUCUCUGUACUGUCUUUGUUUAGUUUGGGUUUCAUGGUGAUAGUGACCUCAUGAAAUGAGUUGGAAAGAGUUCCCUCCUGUUUUCUGAAGAAGAUUGUGCAAAUCUAAUAUAAAUUCUUUGAAUAUUUGGUCAAAUUUUCCAGAAAAGACAGUUGGGCUGGGAUUUCUCUUUCAGGAGGCUUUUCAUUACAAAUGUAAUUUGUUUCAUGGUUAUAGGAUUAUUCAAAGUAUCUAUUUUGUGUUGGUGGAUUUUUUUUUACAUUAGUAGUUUCUAAGUUGUCAUAUGUGAGAACUAAAUUAUCAAAUUUGUUAGUUGUUCUGGUAAUCCCUUAUUGUCCUUUUAAUGGCUAUAGGAGCUGUAAUAUCUCCUGUCUCGUUUCUGAUAUUAGUGAUUUAUUUAUUCUAUCUUAUCGUAACUUUAUUUUACUGUGACAAGAACUGUUAGCGUGAGAUCUUUUGACUCUCCAUUUCUUCCUACCCCUGGCAAACUUUGCUUCUUCAAGUUCAAAUAUUGUAUUGCCUCUGCUUUUGAUCAUUUCAGAUGCUUCAUAUAAGGGGAAUUGCAUAAUAUUUGACAUUCGGUACCUGGCUUACUUCACUUAGUGUGAUGUCCUCAAAGUUCACCCACCUUGUCACAUACUCAUGGAUGCCUCCUGUUUUGUUUUUUUUUUUUUUUUCUUUUUCUGUUUUUCCUUUUUCAGUACUGAGGAUGGAACCCUUUAACCCAGGGGCACUAUGUGUGAGUGUGUGUGCGCGUGCGCACAUGUGUGUCCAUGCAUGUUCACAUGUGUAUUCAUGUAUACAAUUUUUAAAAAAUCUAUUAAUCUAUUUUGGCACCCAUAGAAUUUUCACAUCUUAGCUAUUUUGAAUGUUGCUGCAAUAAUCGUGGAAUUGCUAGUAUCUCUUCAAGAUCCUGAUUUUAGUUCUUUGGGGCAAAUAUCCAGAAGCAGGGGUUGGGGUUGUGGCUCCGUGGUAGAGCACUCACCUAGCCCGUGUAAGGUGCUGGAUUCAAUCAUCAGCACUACAUACAAAUAAAUAAAUAAAGGUAUUGUGUUAAAAAGAAUCCAGAAGUGGAUUGUUAAAUCAUAUGAUUAGUCUAUUUUUAACUUAUUGAGGACAAUAUGCAUAUUGUCUUUUUAUUUUAGUCAAAAAGAUUUAUCAAUUUUAUUGUUUUUUUCCCACAGAGCAGUUUUUAUCUAUAUUUUUUCUUCUGUUUUCAAUGUUAUACAUUUCUGCUUUUGUUGUAUUAUGUCCUUCCCACUGUUCACUUUGGCUUUUUUCCCAUUGUUUUCUAGGUGGAAGCAGAUUAUUGAGACCUUUCUUAAGGUAUUUAUUUAGGGCUAUACAUUUUCCUUUUGGUGCAGCUUUAGUUGCAUUCCACAAAUUUUGAUAUGCUGCAUUAAUCAUUUUCAUUCAGGUCCGUGUUUUUUUAAUUUCCUUUGAGACUUUUUAAUUCAUGCAUUAUUUAGAAAUGUGUUGAUUUCUAAAUAUUUGUAGAUUUCCGUCUUGUCUUUCUGUUAUUUCCAGUUUGAUUUCAUUAUGACUUAAAAACAUAUUCUUUAUGAUUUUUAGUUGGCUUACAUUUGUUGAAGUUUGUUGUUUUCUGCCUGAGGUUUGGUUUAUCUUGGUGAAUGUUCCAUGACAGUUGAUAAGAGCCUGUGUUCUGCUAUUGUUGGAAAGAGUGUUCUGUAAAUGUCAUAUAGAUCCUCUUGGUUGAUGGUAUUGUUUAAUUAGUUUAUCUUUGCUAACGUUUUGGUCUGGUGAUUUUAUUAGUUGCUGAGGGUGGGGUGUUAAAUACCCCAAGUAGAAGUGUGCAUUUCUCUAUUCUUUUAACUCUAUCAGUUUUUUAAAUUAAUUAAUUUACUUAUUCUAACUUGUUAUAUAUGACAGCAGAAUGCAUUUUGAUUCAUAGUACACAAAUGGAGCACAAUUUUUCAUGUCUCUGGUUGUACACAAAGUAGAGUUACACCAUUCGUGUCUUCAUACAUGUACUUAGGGUAAUGAUGUCCAUCUCAUUCUACCAUCUUUUCUACCCCCCAGGUCCCCUCCCUUCCCCUCUCUCCCCUCCAAAGUUCCUCCAUUCCUCCCACAUCUAUCAGUUUUUGUUUUGUGUAUUUUGAAGCUAUUUUUGGAUGCAUGCAUCUUUAAGAUUACUAUGUCUUAGUGACUGAUCCUUCUGGGUAACAUCUUUAAUGUCCUGAGUAAUUUUCUUUUCCCUGAAUCCUACUCUAUCUGAUAUUUAUGUAACUACUCAUGCUUUUUUAAGUUCAAGUUUGCAUGAUCUUCUUUCCAUUCUUUUAUUUUCAUUCUCCUUAUGAUGUUACUUGUGAAUUGAGUUCGUCACAUUCUGCGUAUUGUUUUGUGGCGCAUUUUUAUGCACUCGGCCAGCUCCUGUCUUUUAUGGUAGCCUGGUUUAAAAUCUUUUUUUUUUUAAUAUUUAUUUUUUAGUUGUAGUUGGACACAGUACCUUUAUUUAUUUUUAUAUGGUGCUGAGGAUCGAAUCCAGGGCCUUGCACAUGCUAGGCGAGUGGUCUACCGCUGAGCCACAACCCCAGCCCUGAUUUAAACUCUUUAUCAGCUCCAAUAUCUGAUUCAUUUCAGUAAGUUGGCAUUCAUUGAAUGUCUUCACAUUCAAGUUGUGGUUUUCCUAGUUCUGGAUAUGACAAGUGAUUUUUAAAUUUUUAAAAAGUAUUCAUCCUGAAUAUUGUGGAUAUUAUUUUUUCAACUAUUGAUCCUCUGUCUUUUACUUAGCCAGCUAGUUGUCCUAUUUUAGGUUUAAUGUGUGACCCUCCGCUCCGUGGGUAGUAGGUUCAAGGGCAAUUUAGUUUUUGAGUGUUCUUCUCAAUGCUGUUUUAGUCUACUUUGUUGUUCUGGCUGUACCUGAGCUUCCCCUGGAUCCCUGCUGGUGCCAUCAAUAAAGGCAGAUGGCACUUCCCUGGUCCUCCUGGGCUUCCCAUUGUCAAUAGUAGAGGGGUGAAUGGUGGUUCCCCUGGAUUUUCCAUGCCAGCUCUUAUAGUGCCAGGGAAAAGGGAACCACCUACCUGUACCACCAUCUGCCACUGCUGCUGAAGAGCAAGUAGCCAAGGGGUCUGGGUGGCUCUCGCUGCUGGGUAGAGAGCAGGUAACCCUGGGCCUGGUUCACCUUCUGCUGAGGGGGAAAGACUGGGAGAUGCCUGGUCUGAAUUAUAUUUUGCCAGUGAGUGGAUGGCCAGGAAUCACCAGUUUGAGGUGGUUCCCUGUUACUGGUUUGAAGACUGGGAAACAUUAUACCUCCAGGCAUAACUAGGGUGUGUGGCAGGGCGUGCCUGCCAUCACCUGAUGGGAGACAAGAAUGGGGGUCCAUCUGCCCAGGUUCCACGGGUUGCCUCUUCUGCAGCAGAUAGCUCCUGCCGAUGCCCCUGGAAUAUGGGUUUCCCUAAGACACUGCUGCGCUUCUCCUUCUGCAUCCUUGAUGAGAGAGAGCAGACUUUUUUUUUAAAACCUGUUUUUUUGUGUGCCAAUUGGUGGUUCAGGGGUGCAGAUCUUUCUCAUGCUGAGUCUGGGAUAUAAAGGAGAUAAAGUAAAACCCCUGGGAACUAGUCAAGGUGUCUACAUCCUGAGGUUCCUGGCCAGGCUACUUCUUCUUUCUGCAGUUCAGAAUCCUUCUGAUUGUCUAUUGAAUUAUUUCCAGGUUAUUGUUAUGUUUAGAGGGGAGGAAUGGGGAAUAUAAGCCAGCUUGUUGUGGAACCAGAAACCUAUAUAGAUUUUUGAAGAAGAGGAAUAUUAAUUAAUUAACACUAAACAAUACUGAAAUAACUGAGGUUCUUAUAGUGUAUCUGCUGCUUCAGGAUUUUGGGGGAUCUGGGUCAUCAUUCUGUAUCUUUUAAUCAAAGUAACUUUAUUAAAAGAAGUACAUACAAAGGAUAUUUUAAGUAUGAAACUUAGAAGGGUGUUUGUUAGGGUUUGUUGGCUUUCUUUCUGUUUUCCACAAAUAGCAUAGAAAAUGGUGAGUUUACAAAACACAUUUUUCUUAUCCAAAGAUUUCUCCAGUUUUUAGUAUAACAAAUCUGGAGUUCCUCCAGCCUCUCAGUUCUUUCUCUACAAGUUGAGGUACAGUAGCCUCGUCAGCAUUGUGUGUCUCGUGGAAGUCCAAGGUGCUCCCUAGUCCUUCCCAACACGAGCCCCUCCACCCCAGGGUCAGUUUUCACAUGCAGUGUAGAGUAGAGCAGGAGCUUUAGUUGAAUUUGUGAUGAUCAGUUGUUGUAAUCCAUAAAUUAGUAAUAUCCAUUCAUUUAGUAUUUAUCUUGGUUUUAUAGAAGUAGAGCUCAAUUUUUAAAAAUCUUAUUUUACAUUUUCUGGUUAUAUGCAUUAGUUCAGAUGAGAAUUUAGUGUGCUUGGUGAUUUCAAAUGGUUAAUUUAAAUGAAGGAAUCAUUUCAUACACCAUUGUGUAAGAGAGGAUGCAUGCAGUUCUGUUUUUAGAAAAUUAUAUCAUAAAGCUGUUGGGGAUGACUAAUUGACCUAAUGGUAGCAUCGUUUCUCUCUGUGAACUCUAAAGAAGGAAUACACCAAAAAGGAAAAAAAAAUCUGUUUAGUCUUUAUUUAUUAAUUUUUAUCUAACUAUAGCCUUAUGGGAAAAAAGAAGUACAAAGUAUGUGGGUGCUACUGAGGUGUUGGUUGGCCUACAAAUAGAGUAUAAGGUUUUAUGUAGUGACACCUUAAAAAAAAGUGGCUAAUUUUUUAAAUUUAUUCAUUUAAAAUCUAUUGAUUGAUUGAUUGAUUUUGUGAGGGUCUCACUAAGUUGUAUAGGGCUAUGCUAAGUUGCUGAGGCUGGCCUCAAACUUGUGAUCCUCCUUAGCCUCUUUUGUUGCUAGAAUUAAUGCACCACCAUGCCUGGCUGUGACUUUUAAUUUUUUAAGUUAAAAAAAAAAAAAAAGAUCCUACAGGGCAGGUUUAUUGCUGAAAAAUGGGACAGGGGGAAUGACUGAAGAGUAUCUGAGAAAAGAUAAAUUGUUAAAACCAAAGUAUGAGAAAAUAAAGUAUCAUAUAGUGGAACAUGAAGGCCGCAUGGGGUGAGGGUGGAUAGCAAGAAGAAAAUCCAUAAAGAAAGAUUAUCUGUGGUUUUUAAGAAAUAAGAAAUUAGUAUUACUACUAAUUAUAAAUACUAGAAAUUCUUCCUAAUUUUUUAGAUUUCAUAGAUUUUAAAAAUAAAUAUAUUCUUUCAUAAUGUGAUAAUUGUACCUUCCUAGAUUUCAAAAUGCCCUUACUUACUAGUAGCUCAUUGUAUUUGGUUGCAGUUAUAAAGCACCUUUACAUGCUUAUUUUAAAAUUUGGUCCUCAAGAUUACCAUAAGGUUGCCAUUGUGGUGGUGCACACCUGUGAUCCCUGCAACUGGGGAGGCUGAGACAGGAGGAUCCUAAGUUCGAGGCCAGCCCCAGCCACUUAGCAAGACCCCAUCUCAAAAUAAAUAAAAUGGACUGGGGAUGUAGCUCAGUGGUAAAGUGCCCUCGCAUCCUGUCCCCAGAACAACAACAAAAAAAAAUUACUAUUAAAAUCGGAUAGUAUUAUCCCCAUUUUACAAUAAAUGAUAGACCUAGCAUCCCAGGGUUACCACGUGUUGCAUCCGGGGGCAGCACCUAGCUCUUUGCUUCCUAAUUCAGCAUGGUAUUAUUUUCUGGAACUCCAAGCUGUCUACUUGGUACAUUCAUUCCCUUUCUACAUUAAUUUUCUUAUCAAAAGUACAUUAUACUUCAUUCUGAAGGAAAUGGAAUUGAAUUCCAAGGUAUUUUAUAUUCUCUAGUAGUUGCUCUUCUAGAAACUACCAAUCAUAUGUAGUGCAGGAUGUUCAUGAAUUUCCCCCCUUACAAAAAAAUGAGGCUAUUUUAGACCUUUGUGUACCAUACCUAGACCUUUGCUUGACUUGUUUUCCUCUUGGUUUUGGUAGUGGCAGCUAGGCCCAGAAGAGAUCAAUUCCAUAUUCUUGUUCUUCAUACCAAAGGAAACAGAUGUCUCAUUUUUAGGAGGUCUGUGUCCGUGUCAGACUUAGGAACCUCAUGAGAUGACUGUAUACUGUCUAGCCAGGGAGCAUGGCUGACCAAGGCUGCUUUCUGCAGCUCUCUAUCCCUUUCAAGCUUUCCUACUCCCAUUUUACCUUCUUUCCUCUUUUUUUCCCCUUUCCCUUUUUUCCUUUUUGAACUUUUAAAAAAUCUUGGCUUCCUCUCUGUUUUUUCUUAUGCACUAACCCACUUAAAAUGUAAGGACCAGCUGUCGUCUUCUGUAAUCCAAAGGAGCUGCCAUGCAGGGUCCUUCCCUCUGUGGCAAUUUCCUCUUUGCCCAACUCUCACAUGGGCCCUGGUCUCCACCACACUGACACGCAUCUUAACCAGAGGGCUGGCACCUGGGUUGUGGCACUGUAGUUUGGGUCAAGAAUCUGAACACUACCUAAAAAAGCAUAAGGCUGCCUUGACACACUUAUUUAUUAAUCACUUUAAUAGACAAAUAAAAACAUAAAAUUGUAUAUAUUUAUGGGGUGCCCCGUGACAAGGCAUAUUUGAAAGUUCAUUUGGAAACUAGGCACUUUUUUCUAUCCCCAGUAGAUCUAUUUAGUGUUAGAAUAUAUAAAAAUAUAUACUGCUCUUCUUUGUAGACAGGAAAAGGGGAUAAAGACUUUUCUGAUUAAUAUCACCUAAGCAAACUACUCUGAAAUAGUUUUAUUCUUGGUUGAAUAAUCUUCCCAUUUGAUUAUGAUCUUUACAUUUAUUUUCUCAUCUGUUAUUCUGACUUUUCAUAGUGAAGGUUUUAUUUUGUUUUGUUUUCCCUGUUGGCCUCUCUAGAGAGAAAUAAUUUGUGAAGAAAAGGGACAGGAAAUGAGAGUUUAGAUUUUAUUCUAGGACUUUUGUCAUUAUUUUCUAGAAAGCACACACCAUUAAAUACCUUAUAUGUUUUUCUCUCAAAAUAUGGAAAAUAUCAAAUAUUUCUCUGUGUUGUUGUCUACCCAGAGUUUUGACUUAAUGCCAGUGACUGAUAGUGUAUUGUCAUUCUUCUGUCACAUUCAUGACAGAUAAAAGCAAAUACCCAAUUGAUCUACCUUGUAUUUCUGGUUAGCCACAUACCAGUGUUCCCCUUUUAAAUCAUGGUGGGAGUAGUUGUAGGCAGAUACUUAUGCAAAUCUUUAUUGCAUUUUUUUUUUUUUUUUGCCAGUAUCACCUCAGAUAACUUGUCAUGGAUCCAUGUGUGGAAAUAUCAAAAUUCAGGGACUAUUUGUGUUCCCAGGACCCUUGUUUUCAUUUUGCUUUGCAGUAGUUAGUUGAAUGCUACUUCCCAUUUUUAAAGGGCAGAGAGAAUGCCCUUCUCGAAUGUCUAAGUCCUAGAAUAUAGAAGAUUUUUUCCAUCUGCCAGCCCCAUUUUUUUUUUUUUGAGGGUCUUGCUUAGUUGCCCAAGCAGACCUUGACCUUGUGAUCCUCCUACUUCAGCCUCCCAAGUAGCUGGGAUUAUAGGUGUGCACCACCAUGCCUAACUCAAGUUUUGUGUCUUGAUGUAAAGAGCAUACAGAAAAUGACUCAUGAUGUAGAAUACAGUCUUGUUGCUCACCAUGAUUCUAGCAAAUGUUUAACAUUAAUCUUAGUCGUUUCUUUUUUUUUUUUCCUUUUUUCUGUUUUUAUAUUUUUUGAUUGUAUUCUGAAAUAAAUGGGGUUUUUUUGUAUGUUGCUGGAUUUUUAAAAAUUGAGAAUAAAUUUGAAUUGCUUUGGAAUUUAGUUCUUGGGACACAGAAUCCUGGUACUUCCAUAUUAAUUCUGGAGAAAAUAGUCUGAGUUCCAGUAACCAAAUCACCAUUCCUUCUAGAACCAGCCAUUACACGUCACAUAGUGUUUGAAGUUUCAAGGUCCAAAUAUCGAUGUUGUAUAAUUUAGCCUGUCAGUUGUGUUUAUUACUCAUGAAUUGUCUCCGGCCUUUGCAUUAACUGACCUCCCUCCCUCAAAUACUUUUUGGUGUCUCUGAGACUUUCUUACCUCCUGUCCUCAAGAAACUGGGUUAAAUAUCUUUUAUAAGCACUACACUACUCUGUUACUGCCUGUAUUUCAGGCUUGCUUUCUCACUAGAUCUAAUCUCUUUGAGGACAAGACCUUAGCAUGUUCACGAUUAUUAUCUUUGCUAUUUGGCAUGAAGCCUGGCACAUCAUAGAUAUUAAAUAAGUAUAUGCGGAAGGAAUGGAUAAAAUUACAGGGAAAAAAUUGUUACUUAGUUUCAUAUUUCUUCCAAAUUUAAAAGCCACUAUAAAUCCCUUAUGCCAAAAUAUCCACUUGUUAUCUUGAUUAACAUAUACUUCUUUAUAUAAGUGGAAAGUUUCAAUUAUUUGGUUACAUUUUGAAUUUGGGACUAGCAAAAUGGGUUCUUUAGUGAGAGACCUCUAGUUUCCCUUGAAGAAAAAAAUUUGUAGCUCAUCUACCCAGAGGAGAUAAUUAGCAUCACAUGUUACUCAUUAAUGUAAAUUUCUGAAAUAGCUGUACUUAUUUAAAAAAAAAAAACAUGCAGAGUUUUUGUACUCUAGUUGUAGAGCUUUGAACUUGAGGGGGAAGCAGGGUCCUGUGCUCCAUGCCCAUGUAAGUAAACUUGUAAUGUAAAGAUUCCGUUAAUUGUUUCUUCUGUAGACUGCAAGGUCCCUGAGAGUAGGCUUUGUGUCUCUUGUGUUUCUGUUUGCCACCUAGCACAAACUCUGGUUAUUUUAGGAACUCAAUAAUGAUAUGUUGAAUAAAUUUUGGAAGAAGAAAUACUAGAGUGGAGGUCUUUGAUCUGCAUGUGCCCUGUGAAUGGUAGAAUGCAUCACAACCAAUUUAAUAGGUGGAAGUUACUGUCUACAUGUCAUAUGCUUUCUGAAAAUGAGUUAAAAAUAUCCUAUUGGGGUUGGGAAAAUCACAGUUUGGGGGUUUGUUUUACAUACUGUAUCAUACUUUCAGUUAAAGUGGGUUUAAAAUUAAUCCAUACAGAUCAAAUGGACUUUUCAAAUUUCAUCUAGCAAAAGGAAUUGAGAAAGAUGGUGUUUGUGGCCUCUAAGUAGAUCUUUAUUCUGGAAGACCUAAGAUAAAAACUCUAAAUUCCAAUAAUCCUGAGGCUUAUUUGUGAGAAUUAUAUUUUAAGAUUUUUAUAGAAGUUCCUCUUCUGCCAGAAAGGAAACUUGAGUUUGAGAACCAGUCUCCAAGGACUGGAGAGUGAAUGAACUUAACUCUGUCUUACUCGGAUUGAUUUCAGUAUUUUUGGCAGAAGAUCAAAAUAGCUUACACAUAGCAUUUCCAUGAAUGUUUGAACCUUUUCCUUCACUAUUAUUAUUUCUCAACACAUGUAAGUGUUUUUCUUUCAAAGUGACACAUGCUUAUGUUAUAUAAACAACUGGUUCAGACUUGUUUAGACUUUAGCUUUCAUGCUAUGAUUAGAAAGUUAAGAAAUUAAACUUUCUCUAGUCCUGGUUCUCAGCCUUUUCAGAACAUCAGCUUUUCUGUAAAAUUGGAAUAAUAGUGACAACGACUUGUGAUUCAUGGGGGAAUUAUUUGAUAGCAGGUACAUAAAACCUCCAUCGAAGUGACUGUAUUGCAGAUGAGGGUGAGAGGGUGGAGUCAGCCAUGGUUUUUAUAUUAAAACCAGAUGGAGAGACUGAGUUAGGUAUUUGGCUUGCUUGCUUGCUUGUUUUUGAUCACUGUGAUCCCAAAUUAGUCCAAAUAUAUCUUUUAAAUAAGAAAUACUAUUAAGUAUUAAGUAUUACUGUUAAGUAAUACUAUUAAGUUAUCAAUUUAGACUGAUAUGUUUAUGUCAGCAAGUUAUUGAUCAUUAUUAUAUUAUUACUUUAUUCAUGCAAUAGAAAGGGGAUGAUUAUUAUAUAUAUUUAUAGAAAAAUUAUUGAAGAAUACACAAUGGUUUCUUAGCAAUACCUCUGAGGAGUGGGAAUGGGAAGGCCAAACGGAGAGGGAAACUUUUUCUAUCUACACCCUUAUUGUACUGCUCGAAUAUUAUUGAGCACAUAUUACUUUUAUAAGAAAAAACAAAAAGACUGUUGAAAGUUUUUAGCAGCAAGUGGUAUAGUGAAGGUUGUAAAUGGAGCUAAUAAACUGCCUAAUAUGCUGGCAAUAUCUAAGAGUAAAUAUUUUUUGUCAUUACAAGUAAGUAGAAUUAUAUCCAUGACCAUAAAAAUGAAAUAAUGCAGAGAGGUUGUGUUAAAAUGGUAAUUUAUUUUUCCCCAGUAGCUGACUCAAUUUUGGAUAUAUUCAAAGUGUAUCUUUGAAAGUUUUAAGAGUACAGAACCUGCAGAUAUGGAGGACCAUCUGUAAGGGACACAGGUUUGUUAUCCAAGGGGCUCCUCGAACCAAUCACCCAUGGACACCAUAGGAUGACUAUAGUUUCUUAUCUAUAAAAGAAAAAAAGCAAACAAUACAUAAAAGUUAAAAAUGAAAUUCCUUUAUGGUUACACACCAUUUCUGAAGUUUGUUUAUUGCGAGUGAUUUGGUGUAUUUUUUAAAAUGGAACUCUCCCUAUGGAAAUGGACACACCCACACACAAUUAUAUGCAUAUCACUUCAUUUCUUUAUUGAUUUGCUGGGGGUUGAAACCAGGUCCUCACACAUGCUGAACACGUGCUCUAACACUGAGCUACAUCCCCAGCCUCACGUAUCAUUUCUUAAAUAAAAAUGGGCUUUUAUUAUAUGCACUGUUCUGCAACAUGCUUUUUCACUUAAUGUUAAUAUAUGAUCAUUACAUAUACACUUAGUUGUUCCAUAAUUCACUGUUACUGAAGUUCAAAGUUGUAUGCACACUUUGCUACAUUGUACAUUCCUGGAUAGCCUUCCUUCUCCACUUACGUAUUUCAGUAGGGCAAAUAACUAGAAGCAAAAUUGCUAAAUGAAAAGAUGUCUUGAUUUAAAAAUGCUGAUAGGCAGUGCCAGAUUGCUACCAAUGAAAUUACAUUGUUAUACUGACACCCAGGCCAAAUUCUAGUAGUGCCUGUCUUCUUUUCUCCCACCCACCCCCCAACCUUGCUCCUGCAACGUGAAAAAAGUAUAAUUCAAUUUAUGUUUCUUUGAUGAUUACUGUCGUUGAAAAUCACAUUGCAUAUAAUAAUAUAGAUUUAAAUUUAUAGUUGUAAAAGUUGGAUGUUUACCUUUUGCCUAUUUUCAUAUCUCUUUUCACUUUUUCUUUUUGAUUCAUAAAUACUUUAUAUAGGAUAUUUUUUUAAAGAGAGAGAGAUAGAGAGAGAGAGCGAGAGAGAGAGAGAAAGAGAAUUUUAAUAUUUGUUUUUUAGUUUUCGGCGGACACAACAUCUUUGUUUGUAUGUGGUGCUGAGGAUCGAACCCGGGCCGCACGCACGCCAGGCAAGCGCGCUACCGCUUGAGCCACAUCCCCAGCCCCAAUAUAUAGGAUAUUUUUUGGUAAUAUAAAAGCUAAUAUUUCUCCAUUUGUGUCUUUAUAUUAAUAGUGUUUUAUGCAGAAGAAUCAAUUUAUUGUAAUGUUAUUCUGAUCAAAAUUAUACAUAUCUAUAAUUUAAAAAGCCAAAAUUUUCUUCAAAGCUGAUAACAAAAAACCAUGGUCUCCUGCCUUACAUCUCUUCUCCCAUUCCCAAUUGCUGCUUCCCAAUGGUAACCACUUUAAAGUUUUAUCGAUGUAUAAUGGUCUUUUUUUUCUAUAUAUACAUUUCUAAGCAACAUUUUUAUAUUGCUAUCUGAAUAUUUCAAUUUUAGAUGAAAACUUAGACUUUAGCUUUCUUACAUACACAGCUCACAUUUUACCCCUAUCUUCCAGAAAUAGUUAUAUCAUAAUUUUUGGUUAGCUUAACAGACAGUGCUUGCGUUAUUAUGAUACAUAUGUUAUUCACAGCUUUGGCUUUUAGAGGACUAUGACUAAGUUCUCUUUCUGAGUAACAUUUUGUUUUCCCUAGAGUCAAUAAUUGCUUCAUUUCUUUUAUUAAUUCACAUAAUUCAUUCUCAUUUCCUACCCCACAAUUUUAAGUAUCCUCUCAAUAUGUUCACAUCUACUAGGUAAUAUAUCAAAUUAAUCUUUUUCUUGAAAACUCCCUAUAGAAUCCCUGUGUUCUGCAAAACACAGUAAGAUACCACUUCACACACACACACACACACACACACAAUUAUGUAUACGUACUUUCUUAAGUAAAAGUGGGAUUUGAUCAUAUAUACUGUUUUCCAACAUGCUUUUUUUCAUGCAAUAUAUUUAUAUAAGAUUACUGCAUAUGUUCUUUUUCAUCAUUAAACUGUUAUUCUCUCAGGCUCCUUUUGCUGUUAUUAUCCUGGUUAUUUAUCUUUAACAUCAUCCAGGAGGUUUAUAUUUUUGCAGCAAAAUUAAAGAAACUUUAGCUUUCUUACAUACACAGUAAGUGUUGUUUGUUUGUUUUUUAGUUUCUGCAUUUUGUGUCAUUUAAAAAUCUGAGAUUAUAAAAAUAUUUGCCCACAUUUCUAUUGGUUGAACAGUUCUAAUUUUCUAUAUAUAUAAAUUAUUUUGUUAUAAAGAAUGAGAUAUGGAAGCUUCCUUUGUUUUUUUUUUUUUCAAUCCUUGAAUGACUGUCCUGUAUCAUUGUAUUAAGUAGUUCAUCUUCCUACACUGAUUUGAAACACAGCCUAGAUCAUAUAUCCAUGUGGACUUGUUUGUUUUUGAGACCCUUCUGUUCUGUUUCAUUGAUCUGUCUAUUCCAGUCCCAGAUUUCAGCCAUUCAUUUGCUCUGGUUUUACUACUGAUUUUAAUUCCUGACUGGACAAGUUUCUUCAAGGCUCCUUACCUUCGCUUGAUCCAAAUUUCUUUUUUUUUUAAUUUUUAUUGUUGGUUGUUCAAAACAUUACAUAGUUCUUGAUAUAUCAUAUUUCACACUUUGAUUCAAGUGGGUUAUGAACUCCCAUUUUUACCCCGUAUACAGAUUGCAGAAUCACAUCAGUUACACAUCCAGUGAUUUACAUAUUGCCAUACUAGUGUCUGAGAAGGGGAAUUGCCAUACUAGUGCCAUACUAGUGCCUGAGAAGGGGAAUAGCUGGGUCAAAUGGUGAUUCCAUUCCCAGCUUUCCAAGAAGCUUGAUCCAAAUUUCCCUGGCUACUUAUUGAAUGUUUGUUCUUCUAGAUCAGGAGUUGGAAAACUUUGAACCCACAGAUCAAAUCUGUCUGUUUUUAAUAAUUUGGAAGCUAAAAAUGAUUUUUAAUUUUUUGCUAGUUGGGUGGAAAAGAAUAUUUCUUAACAUGGGAAAAUUAUAUGAAAUUCAAAUUUCAGUGUAUAAGUAAAAGUUUAUUCUAGCACAUGCUCAUUCUUAAUGUUUUAUUUGUGGCUAUUUUCAUGCUGUGAGACAGUUGAGCAGUUACAUCAGGCAGUAUUGCCCACAAAACGUAAGAUGUAGUAGAAAAUUUACAAAAAAGUUUUGCUGGCCCCUGUUCUAGACCAAAUUUUGAACAGUUUAAAAGGAAUCCUAUUUGAAUUUCAUAUAAUAUACAGAUUUUAAGGAGAAAUAACUUUUUAAGUUAUUUUAAUUUUAAGGAGAAAUAACUUUUUCAGUGUUGUCACCAAAGAACAAAAUAAGUCUUUCGUUUAUUCAAAUUUUCCAUUAGCAACAUCUAUUAUAUCCAUUAAUGAUAUCAAUAUAGUCAUUAUUGGGAUCUUUUCUUUUACUCUAUUUCUUCAUAUAUAUUUAAUUCAUAUAAUUCUUUUAAGAUAAAAUAUAUCAUAAAACAGUCAAGACAUAUCAUAUCUUCUGUUACCAUCUCAAUCAGAUAAAUGAAACAUAAAAGAAAAUGGAAAUUAUAUUCUUGGCAAAAAUAUAAAUGAAGAUAGAAAAAUUAUUUUCCUGUAGUUUUCAUUUACAUUUUUUUAAGAUAUCAUGUUACUUGUUGCAACAUACACUUUAAUUAUGGGUCAAAGGCAAAAUGACUCACUUAUUAAAAUUAUUUUUAUUAAAAUAUACUCACAUGUAUUAAAAUUUUGAACAGUAUAAUAAUGUACAAUAUAGAACGUAAAUGAACUCAAUCAAAAUAGAAACUACCAAUCAAGCUGGGUGGUGUGGUGCACACCUGUAAUCCCAAUGGCUCGGAGGUUGAGAUAGGAGAAUUUCGAGUUCAAAGCCAGCCUCAGCAAUGGCGAGGCGCUAAGCAACUCAGUGAGACCCUGUCUCUGAAUAAAAUACAAAAUGGGGCUGGGGUUGUGUCUCAGUGGUUGAGUGCCCAUGAGAUAAACCCCUGUACCCAAAAAAAGAAAACCCUACCAAUCAUACACAAUAUAGUAGCAAAUUCUUAUCAUAUACCUUGAAACUGUUUGGGUAUAUGCUUCUAGGUUUUCCUCUAUCUUUCCUAAUGUUGUUUAUAUUAUUAAUAUUACUUUUAAAUGUAAUGAUAUUACAUAUAUUACAUAUGCAUAUUACAUUUUCUUAUUACUUAUCAAUACUUUAGUAGGACAUCAUUUUUAUAGAUCUGCUUCUACAGUAAUCAAGUGUAAAAUUCUACCUAUUUUUAUUUUUCUUAAUACUUUUUUAGUUGUAGAUGGACAUAAUAUCUUUAUAUUUAUUUAUUUAUUUUUUAUGUGGUGCUGAGGAUUGAACCCAGGACCUCACAUGUUUGAGGCAAGUGCUCUGCCACUGAGCUACAACCCCAGCCCCCUACCUAUUCUUUUUUGAUGGACUUUUGGGUUGUUUCCAGAUGUUUUCUAUUACAAACCAUGUUGUAAUUAUCAUUUAUAAAUAGCAGUAGGAUUCAUUUUCAGUUCAUCUACUCUGAUUCUAGACUAUUUCAGUUCCAGGAUCACUUUCUUCAUAUAUUCCUAGAAAUGUAAAGGACCUCUCAUUUUAGUUAAAAAAAAAAAAAAAAAAACAUUAUUUAAGUAAUUACUAUUUAUAAAGCAGUGUGCUUCCCAGAAGUCCUUUUCGGUUUUUGUUUCUUUAAUAAUGAAAUAGUCCUGAUCUCUGUGAGCUUACAGCCUCAUAUGGCUGGCCAGCAUGUACCCAAUCAAUCAUAACUUUUACUAAUUAUGUAGUUUGUAAAAUGUUAGUUAUGACUGUGUGCUGAUAAACUUUUUUGCCUUGGGCUUUCAGCAGAUUACAGGGAGAUGGGGUUGAUAAAGGUACGUGAAACAAAGUGCAUAUUGAAGAGUAGCAAAUUCUAUUUAUUGGUGGGCUUGUGCCACCAAAGCUCUCUCAUCAGGUAGACAAAUUAUAACACAGAGAAGAGAUUAAAAGACGUAAUGUCCUAUCCUGUAUCCUAUGUUACCAACAUGCUAUCUGGUUUCACUUUUCAUGUGCUGUAGUUGCAUUAGCUAUAAGAAAUAAUGGUAAAAAUUAAGUUAUAUAAACCUAUUUUUUAAAAAAAUUCAUAAAACUUCAUAAGAUCACUAGAUUUCACUGGAGCUUCCACCCUAUAUGUUACUAGAUGUGAUAAAAAUUGAUUACAAAAAGUAAGUGGGAAAAUGUUAACUUUUAUUAAUGACAUACCAUGUAAAUUGGAGUAUUGUUCCAUGUUCUAUCGUACACCUUUUGACACAUUGGGUUCACUUGUGGAAAUUUAUCAUAAGGAAAUCAUUACGGGUACAUCACCACGAUCUAUUUACAGAACUCUUUCAUCAUCACAAGCAGAAGAAUCUCUGUACCCAUUAAGCACUAACUCAGCAUUCCCCUGCUUUGCCAAGGUAAUCUGCCACCCUUUUAUCCCUAUGAAAGAAAAGAUUGUUUGUCUUGUUAUUGAGUUGUAAUUAAUGUUCUGAACAUUAAACAUUAAACCCUUAUCGGACACAUGAUUUGCAGACAUUUGCUCUCACCUUUGAUAGUGUCUUUUGAUACAAAUAAGUUUAAUCUUACUGAGGUUCGGUUUUUUCUGUUUUGUCUUUUGUUACCUGUGCUUUUGGUGUUCCUACUGUUGGAAUUUUCAUUGUUGCUGUUCACUUUGAAUUUUUUUUGUAAUUGACAAAAUAUAUAUCUGGUGUACAAUUUAAUAUUUUGAUACAUGCACACAUUAAAUCAAACUAACAUACCUGAUUUCAACUGAAAUUUUGUAACCUUUGGUACGUGUCCUCACUGCCACUGGUCCCUGGUAACCAGCAUUCUAUUCUACAUAUUCUGUUCUGAGUUUGACUUCUUAGACUCCGUAUAUAAGUGAGAUCAUACACUUUUGGCCUUUCUAUACCUGCCUUAUUUUACUUAACAUAAUAUCCUUUGUGGUCAUCUUCAUUGAUGCAAAUGACAGAUCUUCUUCCUUUUUGUGGGAGGUGAGGGAGGAGUACCAGGGAUUGAACUCAGGGUCACUCGGCCACUGAGCCAGCCACUGAACCGCAUCCCCAGACCUAUUUUGUAUUUUAUUUAGAGACAAGGUCUCGCCUCGCUAUUGCUGAGGCUGGCUUUGAACUUGAGGUUCUCCUGCCUCAGGCUCCUGAGCUGCUGGAAUUACAGGCGCCUGACUCCUUCCUUUCCCCUGUAGUGCUGGGGAUUAAACCCAGGGCCUUGUGCACGUGAGGGAAGCACUCUACCAACUCUACCUGAGCUAUAACCCCAGCCCAGGCUCCUUCCCUUUUUUUCCCAAGGCUGGAUAGUAUUUCAUUGCGUAAUGACCCACAUUGCUCUCAUUCAUUCAUCCAUCGUUGGACAUUGAGGUUGAUAUCACGGCACAGCUAUUUUGAACAAUGCUGCAGGGAAUGUGGGAAUGCAAAUAUCUCUUCACUAUACUAAUUUCAUUUCCUUUGGAUACGAAGCCCCGAAGUGGCAUUGCAGUUCUAAUUUUAAUUUUUUGAAUAACCUCCACACUGUUUCCAUAAUAGCUGUACCAACUCACAUACUCACCACCAUCUUACAAGGGUCCCCUCUUGCUAACAUUGGUUAUCUUUUGUCUUUCCCUUCCCCCACCCCCAAUCCAGGGAGUGAACCCAGGACCUUGCACAUACUAGGCAAGUACUCCACCACUGACUCUCCCCAGUCCUUAUCUUUUAUCUUUUUGAUGAGUACCAUUCUUACAGGUGUGAGAUGGUAUAAUGGUUUUAAUCUGCAUUUCCCUAAUUAUUUUGAUGUCAUUUUUAAGAAACCAUAGCCAAACCCAAGGUUUAUUACUAUAAUUUUUAAAGAGUUUUAUAAUUAUUUAGGUCUUUUACAUAUAUAUUUAAUAUUUAUUUUUUAGUUAUAGGUGGACACAGUAUCUUUAUUUUAUUUUUAUGUUGAGGAUUGAACCUAGUGUCUCACACCUGCUAGGCAAGCACACUACCUCUGAGUCACACCCCCAGCCCAAUAUAUAUUUUGAGUUAAUUUGUGUAUAUGGUAUAAAGGUCCAGUUUAAUUCUUUUGUAUACUAUGUAGUUGUCCUAACAUGGUUUUUUGAAGAGGCUCUUCUUUCCCUGUUGAAUGUUCUUGGUGCCCUGUUGUGGAUUUCUUAGCUGUAGAGAUAGUGAGGGUUCAUUUCACAAGCUCUCUCCAUUGGCCCAUGUGUGUCCUCUGUUGGCAAGUAUGGCACUGUCCUGACUGCUCUAGCUGUGUUCUAAGCCACAGGAAGUGUGGGAACCUCCAAUUCUGUUCUUUUUCAGUAGUACCUUGGCUUUUUGGGGUCCUUUGGAAUUCUAUAUAAAUUUCAGACUGAGUUCUUCCAUUUCUGUACAAAACACUUUUAAAUUUUGAUGUAAAUACAUAUUAAGUUUCCUAGUCCUUGAACCCACGCUAUCUUUCCACUUAUUGCUGUCUUUAUAGAUUUCUUUUGGCAAGAUUUUGUGAUUUUUAUUUAAUAAGUGUUUUCCUUCUGGGUCUGGGGCUUCACAGGUGCCAGUCACACACCGUACCAUGAGCUACAUGUCCAGCCUUCGUUGUUCAAAUCUUUGUGCCGCCUCAGUGAAGUUUGUUCCUAAAUAUUUCCUUAUUCUGAUGACAUUAUUAAUCAAUUGUUUCCUUAAUUCCCUUUUCAGGUUUGUUCAUUGCUGUGUAGAUAAAUGCACUGAUUUCCUGUUUUGGUUUUGUACUUUGCCACUUCGUUAAAUUCAUAUAAGCUCUAACAGGUUUCUAUGUGCAUGUGAAUUCCUUAGGGUUUUCUAGAUAUAAGAUGAGGAUAUCAAGGCAGAACAUUUUAAUGUAAUGUUUUUUCUGAAUAAGACCAAAGAAAAUAAUUUAUGCCAAUGACUAGGAGUCCUUUCAGGUUUAUGUUUUUUGUUUUAUUUUGGUUUGUUUUUGUCUGUUUUGAGUGGGAAAUCAUUUCUUUUAAAAUAAGGAUCACUAGGGCUGGGGAUGUGGCUCAAGCGGUAGCACGCUCACCUGGCAUGCGUGCGGCCCGGGUUCGAUCCUCAGCACCACAUACAAACAAAGAUGUUGUGUCCGCCAAAAACUAAAAAAUAAAUAUUAAAAAAACUCACUCUCUCUCUCUCUCUUUAAAAAAAAAAUAAGGAUCACUAGUAAUAAACAGAGUAAAAUUUCUAAAGGACAAUUAAUAAACUAGUACACUUAAAUAAAUUCUAAUGAGUAGAAGCAGGUAUGCUAGGGCUGGGGCUGUAGCUCAGUGGUAGAGUGCUUGCCUAGCAUGGGUGACGCAGUGGGUUCCAUCUUCAGCACCACAUAUAAAACAAAUAAAUAAACAAUAAAGGUUAAAUUCUAUUUUUUUAAAAAAGUAAGACUUAUGAUAACAAAUCCAUGAUCAAGAUUAACUAAGUAAACCUUUUCUUGAUUCCUUUAAUUGAGCAUUUUAAAACCUGACACUGCUUAUCAAUCCAUGUAGAAUGCAAGUCUUCCAUUACCAUUAGGAAUUAAUUGAGGGUGAUCUGAGAAAUCAAACAAUUGGAGACAAUCUCCAUGUCACGCAUCUGGAUGUCCAUCCCAUCCCCUAUUGGAGCUUGGCCUGUGUGCUUCUUGGCAUCAGUGCCUCCUAAUAACUCCUCUCUCCUCCUUUCCUCCUGAAAUUAUCCCAGCAGCUACUGGAUAAUUUGGGGUCAGUAUCAUCACUUAUGGUGUAACCUUAGAGGACUAUCUGAUCCACAAUUCACCCUCUUCAUUAUUUACUAUUUCUGCUUCCUUUGUCAUUUAUACUUAAAGCUAAGUUCAUUGUACCACAAACAAAUCCCACCACCCCCCUCAUGUGCAUUUACAUAGUCUUCCUUUCCCCAAUUCUCAGAGUUCCUUCAAAUGAUUGUUCAAUCUGGUCUCUUCUGUUAUUUUUAGUUCCUCCUCUUUUUGAGGGAGGAGAAUUAGCUUUUUAUAUAUCAACAAAAUAUUUCAAGCUUGUAGUCUAUAACCAAUAUUCAGAAUUUUUUUAAACAUUUUCUUUUUAGUUGUAAGUGGACAUAAUACCUUUAUUUUAUUUUUAUGUGGAUCGAACCCAGUGCCUCUCAUGCCAGGCAAGUGCUCUUCCUCUGAGCCACAACCCCAGCCCCAUCUCAGAAUUUUUUAAAGAAAUACACUACAUAGGUGAAGUAUCUUUUGUACUCCUUCCAGGUCCCAUUACUUCCCAUUUACCCCCAAUGCAUUCACUUCCCAGAAAUUGGUGUGUAUCCCUUUCUUUACCAGUUGAACUUUUAUUUAUACAUCCUUCUACAAACAGUGUCGUGUUGUUUGUGAUAAAUUUAGAUUGAGUUCAUUGAUUUAAAGUAUGACUUUUUAUCAUGUAAGUAUAUCACAAUUAUCCUUUCUCCUUUGGAUGUAUUUAAGGUGUUUCUCAUUUUUUAACCAUUGCAAACAGUGUCUCAAUUCAUGUGCCCGUGCAGGAAUCAAGAAUGUACAUCCUCAACUUUACUAAAUAUCGCUAACUCAUGCUGAUAGUCUUUAUAGUAAUGUUUCCUUCUACUUUAUUUCUGAGCAAAAAUAUGAUAUUUAUAAUGGCUGGUGAGCGUUGAUAUAAUGGAUGAAAUUUAGGAUGGGAUUUCACCUUCAGAACCAAUUGCUUAGAUAACUUGAGUCAAGUCAUUUCAUCUCUCUGAGUCUCAAUUUCUUCAUAUCCAAAGUAAGGCCAGAUUAAAUAUGACCGCAGAUGUCCUUUCUAACCUUGAUGUCCUGUAGUUUUAGUUCUAAUGAUGUGAAUAUCAAGAGAAAGAUUUUAAAAUGAAAUUAUAUAUAAUAAAGAACUUACGUAACCAGUCCCUAAAUCCCGAGGUCUCUCUCUCUCUCAAAAUCCAAAAGUUCACUUAAGAAUAUCUUCAAGUCUGUAUUCACCAAGUCAUUUUUAUGUAUUCUAUAAUCAAGAUAGUUUUAAAAUUAUUUCUUAAUUAAAUUGUAUUCUGAUGUACAUAAUUAGUUGUAUUUUAAUGGCACUUUUUAAAAGAUAAUUAAAAUACAAAAUAAAGUAUUGACUCUUCAUCAGAGUCAAAAAACUCUUUUGUGUACUAACCUGAAAACCUAAAUGCCAUAUGAAACAUUGAUUUGUGGCUAAAAACAUGUUCAGAGUUGCAGAUAUGUAACUUGGAAGUGAACAUUUGGAUCCCAACUCAUUUGCAAUUUGGAGACUUCCUGUAAUGUUAAUUUUAGGAAAUCCCAAGCAAAUAUGCAGUUACUGCUCUAAAAGAUAUAUAUGUGGUGUGUACUGUGGAAAUUAAAAUGUCACUGCUAAAUGAUUUGCAUGUUGUGGGUUUGGAAGGGCCUAGAACUUCCUUCUUAGGCUUUUUCUCCAGUAGUAGACUGCUUCAUCUUCCUCCUCCUGGAGAAAGGCAGGCAGGAUAAGAGGCAUCGCAAGGAGAAACUUUUAACGAACUUUUUACAAAAAGGCAAAGACAAUUUCAAGGCACUGAUGGUCAGUAACAUCUCUGGCUGAGUCCUCAAAUAAGAUAGAGCUUAACUCUUCCAGGUUGAUUUCUUCAUGAGAAGUUGCUCUGGUUGUCCUUUAAUAUAAAAAGGUUAGUUUUCAUUUCCUUAAAUGUUGACUACAGAUUUCCAGGCAAUUUAGUCAUUCCUGUUGUAUAAAAAUUUACCGCUGAUUAUCUGACCCAGUCAUAAUGCUGUUGAUUUAAAAAAAAAAAAAGCUCUUUAGCUAUUAGAGGGUCCUAGUCUUAGGUGAAGUACAAGAGGCAGCUUUUCUCUUUCUUUGUAAUGGAGCUGAAAAUACCUUCUUUACUGCCUUGCCCAACCUUCCUGCUAGGAUCCAGAUUACCCUGAGUCGGUUGUCUAUGUAUGAGUUUUCAAUUCUCAUUUUUUAAAGCUUUCAUUUUGUUUGCUUUUAACUCUUUUUAAAUGGCUGCUUAGACUCUUUUCUGGAUUGUUCCCUGGUAAAUGAUAGGGAUUUUUUUUUUUUUUUUUUGGUCAGUUUCAUUUUCACUCUAGAUUUUAAUGCAAGGCUCAGCAGAAGAGAGCCUCACAGAUAAGCACUUUUGAUUGAUAGCUGCACAUCUGCUGUGUUUCCCCAAAUGUAUUUUUUCCUCCACAGUCUUUUGGCGCUCUUGUGAUGAUUUUGUUGUGCUAGAUCAUGAUACUACAAGCCUCCGGUUAAGAUUGGUGUUACUCAAAAGCCAAAAAUAAUGUCUGAGUGCAAGGUUGUGACAAAAGCUGUUAAGGACAAACAAAAAACUCAUAGUUGAAGUGAUACUCUCCUUUUUCUGUUGAUUCAAUAUGCAACGGUGGGCGAUUAGUUUCCUAAGCUUGGCUUUCAUUUCUUCAUUUGUACAAUCAGGCGAACAUAAGCUGUUUUGUAGAUUUUGUGAAUAAUUCAAUGAUAAAACAUUUGUAGGUUGUAAUACUUGUUGAAAUAGAUAUUAGUAAUAAACCUUAUUUGGAGAAACUAUCUCUUUGCCACUCACCACCUCCCCAACCCCAGAAUAAUAUCUUACUUUUUUAUAAUUGUGCAGAGCAUGACUAAUUGUAUGUUUUAAUCCAAAAUUACAGCAUUGCUGUAUGUUUUUUGUUUUUUCUUUCUUCUUUCUUGUUCUUUUUUAAUUUUCUUCCUUUCCCUUUUGUAGUACUGGGAAUUGAACCCAGGGCCUCACAUGUGCUAGACAAGCAGUAAAGUACAUCCCCAGACCUUUUUGAUUUUGAGACAAGGCCUCACUAAGUUGGCAAUGGUGGCCUUGAAUUUGACACCCUCCUGAAUCAGUCUCCUGAGUUUCUGGGAUAACAGGCGUGCCUGCUUUGCUCACCACCACCCCCAUCCUGCUGAGGAUGGAACCCAGGGCUUGGUGCCUGCUAGGCAAGCACUGUACCCUCUGAUCUAACCUCCAGACUUCAUUGCUGAAUAUUUUCAAAAUCACAAUUGCUUAUUUAAUUUAGACAGACUUCUUUCGUAGACUUUUAAGUAAUGCUAAUAAAUGUUAAAUUAUAAAUUAAAGCACUAAAUUAAAAAAAUUUUAAUUCUUAAUAGUAGGGAAUCCCUUAGUAUUUAAUCAUCUCAUCGGUUUUGAUUUUCCAUAGCUAUAAUUUUUAUCUCAGGUUUCUCAUAUGAAAUAAGUAAUACACACAUGGAAAAUAUUUGAUGAUAAAUAUUAAUUUUAAACUAGUAAUUGAAGCAGAAUAUUGGAAUCAUGGUAUUUUUAGGUUGUAAAUAUUCUCAGAUUUGCCCUUAAACUUUUUUUUUUUUUUUUUUUUGCUUUCAUGACUGAAGAAUUUAUUUUUAGUUUUUGGAAUUCAUUAACUUAAUUAGGAUGUCUCAGUGCUUAAUCCUAUGAUCACUGUCCUUGGAAUACUGUGUUAUUUUCUGUCAAUAGUGUCAAGUCUUUUCUUAUUUCUAGAAAGUUUUUUAAUUACAUAUUUUAAAAUUACAUUUACAUUAUCUUCAAGAUACUGAUUAUAAUGUGUCCAUUUUUACAUCUAAAACUUUCUGUCUCUUUUUUUUUUUUUUUUUUAACUUUGUUUGGGGUCCUCUUCUGUUGCUUUUUCAAUUCUACACUGCAGGUCCAUUACCAUGCUUUUUUAACCUUUACCAGAUCUUUGUGCUACUUCCAGUGCAUGCUUCAUUUGAUUUAGUAGUGAUUUUAUUUUUUUUCUUUUUCUACAAAUCUCUUAUUUUCUGCAGACUCAUAUUUCAUUUCCUGUUUUGGCUCAUGAUAUCUUUUAUUAACUUUUGGUUUGGGGGGCUGGGAUUGUGGCUCGGUAGUAGAAUGCUCGCCUAUGAGGCACUGGGUUCCAUCCCCAGCAUCACAUAAAUGUAAAAUAAAGAUAUUGUGUCCACCUAAAACUAAAAAAUAAAUAUUAAAAAAAAAAUUUUUGCCUGGGCCCCAUACCCACAUUAUUAGUUUUUUUCAAAAUUUUCUUUGUGCAUUAUAAUUUUACAUAAUGGUAGAAUUUGUUGUUAACUAUUUGUAUCUGCACACAGUAUAAUGAAUCCCCUUGUCCCUGUCCCUGGCCCUUUUUCCUUUCCUUUACUGAUCUCCCUUCAGUUUGCAUGAGAUCCCACCACUUUUCUUUUUCUUUCCUUUUUCCUCUCCAACUUCCACUUCUGAGAAAAAACAUAUGACCCUUGACCUUCUGAGUUUGACUUAUUUUGCCUAAUAAUGUUCUCAAGGUUUUAUCUAUUUUCCUGCAAAUGACAUAAUUUCAUUCUUCCUUAUGGCUAAAUAAAACUCCACUAUGUACAUAUACCACAUACGUUUCUGUUCAUCCACUGAUGGACACCUAGGCUAGUUCCAUAGUUAGGCUACUGGGAAUUGUGUGCACUAAUCAUGGGUAUGCAUGUAUCUCUAUAGUAUGCUGAUUUGAAUUCUUUGUGUAUAUAUGUGGGGGGGGAGGGAGGGAGGGAGAGAGAGAGAGAGAGAGAUUGUGUGUGUGUGUGGUGCUGGGAUUCAACCCAGGGCCUUGUGCAUACGAGACAAGCAUUCUACCAAUUGAGCUAUAUCCCAGCCCCUGAUUUUAAUUCUUUAGGAUAAAUACCCAGGAGUGGUACAGCUGGGUUAGAUGGUGGUCCAUUCCUAGUCUUUUGAGGAACCUCAAUUCUGAUUUCCAUAGGGCUGCACUAAUAGACAGCCCCAUCAACAGUGUAAAAGUGUUCCUUUUCCUGCACAUCCUCUCUAGUAUUUAUUAUUAUUUGUAUUCUUUUUUUUUUAAAAAAUUAUUUUAUUUAUUCUAAUUUGUUAUACAUGACAGCAGAAUGCAUUUUGAUUCAUAGUACACACAUAGAGCACAAUUUUUCAUGUUUCUGGUUGUAUACAAAGUAGAGUCACACCAUUCAUGUCUUCAGACGUGUACUUAUAGUAAUGAUGUCCAUCUCAUUCCACCAUCUUUCCUACCCUUAUGCCCCCUCCCUUGCCCUCCUUCUCCUUUGCCCUAUCCAAAGUUCCUCCAUCCCUCCCAUGCUCCCAUCCCACCCCAAUUAUGGGUCAGCAUCCAUUUAUCAGAGAAAACAUUUGGCCUUUGGUUUUUUUGGGGAUUGGCCUUCUUCACUCAGCAUGAUAUUCUCCAACUCCAUCCAUCUACCUGCAAAUGCCUUGAUUUUACUCUCUUUUAAUACUGAGUAAUAUUCCUUUAUGUAUAUAUAUAUACCACAGUUUCUUUAUCCAUUCAUCUAUUGAAGGGCAUCCAGGUUUGUUCCACAGACUAGCUAUUGUGAAUUAUGCUGCUAUAAACAUUGAUGUGGCUGUGUCAUUAUAGUUUGCUGUUUUUAAGUCCUUUGAAUAUAAACUGAGGAGUGGGAUAGCUGGAUCAAAUGGUGGUACCAUUUCAAGUUUUCCAAGGAAUCUCCAAACUGCUUUGCAGAUUGGUUGCACCAAUUUGCAGUCCCACUAGCAAUGUAUGAGUGUGCCUUUUCCUCCACAUCCUCGCCAACACUUAUUGUUGUUUAUAUUCUUAAUAGCUGCCAUUCUGAUUGGAGAGAGAUGAAAUCUUUGAGUAGUUUUGAUUUGUAUUUCUCUAAUUUGCUAGAGAUAUUGGACAUUUUUUUUCAUAUAUUUGUUGAUCGAUUCUAUAUCAUCUUCUGAGAAGUUUCUGUUCAGUUCCUUAGCCCAUUUAUUGAUUGGGUUAUUGUGUGUGUGUGUGUGUGUGUGUGUGAAGUUUUUUGAAUUCUUUAUAUAUCCUAGAGAUUAGUCCCAUAUCUGAUGUGUGUGUGUGGUAAAAAUUUGUUCCCAUUCUGUAGGCUCUUUCUUUACCUCACUGAUUGUUUCUUUUGCUGAGAAGAAGCUUUUCAGUUUGAACCCAUCCCAUUUGUUGAUUCUUGAUUUUUCUUCUUGCACUUGUUGAGGAAGUCGGGGCAUAAUCUGACAUGAUGAGGAUUUGGGCCUACUUUUCUUCUAUUAGGUGAAGGGUCUCUGGUCUAAUUCCUAAGUCUUUGAUCUACAUUGAGUUGAGUUUUGUGCAUAGUGAGAGAGAGGGGCUGCAUAUGGAUUUCCAGUUUUCAUAACACCAUUUGUUGAAGAGGUUAUCUUUUCUUCAAUAUGUUUUUGGUACCUUUGUCUAGUAUCAGAUAACUGUAUUUAUGUGGGUUUGUCUCUGUAUCCUCUAUUCUGUACUAUUGGUCUACAUGUCUAUUUUGGUGCCAAUACCAUGCUGUUUUUGUUACUAUUGCUCUGUAAUAUAGUUUAAGAUCUGAUAUAGUGAUGCCACCUGUUUCACUCUUCUUGCUAAAGAUUGCUUUAGCUAUUCUGGGUCUCUUAUUUUUCCAGAUGAAUUUCAUGAUUGCCUUUUCUAUUUCUAUGAGGAAUGUCAUUGGGAUUUUGAUUAGAAUUGCAUUAAAUCUGUGUAGUGCUUUUGGUAGUAUGGUCAUUUUGACAAUAUUUUUUCUGUCUAGCCAAGAACAAGGGAGAUAUUUCCAUCUUCUAAGGUGUUUUUUAAUUUUUUUCUUUAGCGUUCCGUAGUUUUCAUUGUAGAGGGUUUUUACCUCUUUCAUGAAGUUGAUUCCCAAGGGUUGUUUUGUUUGUUUGUUUGUUUUGUUUUGUUUUGAGGCUAUUGUAAAUGGGGUAUUUUUCCUAGUUUCUCUUUCAGAGGAUUUGUCACUGAUGUAUAGAAAUGCCUUUGAUUUAUGGGUGUUGAUUUUAUAUCCUGCUACUUUGCUGAAUUCAUAUAUUAGUUCUAGAAGUUUUCUGGUUGUAGGUAUAGAUUCAUGUCAUUGGCAAAUAGUGAUAGUUUGAGUUCUUCUUUUCCUAUCCAUAUAAUUUCUUUCAUCUGUCUAAUUGCUCUGGCUAAAGUUUCAAGAACUAUGUUAAAUGGAAGUGGUGAAAGAGGGCAUCCUUGUCUGUUCCAGUUUUUAGAGGGAAUGCUUUCAAUUUUUCUCCAUUUAGAAUGAUGUUGACCUUGGGCUUGGCAUUAAUAGCUUUUACGAUGUUGAGAUAUGUUCCUAUUAUCCCUAGUUUUUCUAAUGUUUUGAACAUGAAGCAGUGCUGCUUUUUCUGUAUCUGUUGAGAUUAUCAUAUGGUUCUUAUCUUUGAUGUGAUGAAUUACAUUUAUUGAUUUCUGUUUGUCAAACCAACCUUGCAUCCCUGGGAUGAACCCCACUUGAUCAUGGUGCGCUAUCUUUUUUAAUAUGUUUUUUUAUUCAAUUUGCCAGAAUUUUAUUGAGAAUCUUUGUGUCUAUGUUCAUUAGAGAUAUUGGUCUGAAGUUUUCUUUGAUUGAUGUGUCUUUGUCAGGUUUUGGGUUAUAGAAUGAGUUUCAUAUUUCAUGGAAUAAUUUGAGGAAUAUUGGUAUUAGUUUUUCUUUGGAGGUCUUGAAGAAGUCAGCUGUGUAUCCAUCUGGUCCUGGGCUUUUCUUGGUUGGUAGGUUUCUGAUGGCAUCUUCUGUUUCAUUGCUUGAAAUUGAUCUGUUUAACCUAUGUAUAUCAUUCUGAUUCAUUUUGGGUAAAUCAUAUGAUUCUAGAAAUUUGUUGAUGUCUUUGAAUUUUCUGUUAUUGGAGUAUAAAUUUUUAAAAUAAUUUCUAAUUAUCUUCUGUAUUUCUGUAGUGUCCGUCAUGAUAUUUCCUUUUUCAUCCGAGAUUUUAGUAAUUUGAGUUUUCUCUCUCCUUUUUAUUAGCUUGGCUAAGGGUUUAUCAAUUUUAUUUAUUUUUUCAAAGAACCAACUUUUUGUUUUGUCAAUUUUUUCUAUUGUUUCAUUUGUUUUAAUUUCAACUCCAAUUUUAAAUAUUUCCUGUCUUCUACUACUUUUUGUAUUGAUUUUGUUCUUCUUUUUUCUAGGGCUUUAAAAUGUAAUGUUCAGUUAUUUAUUUGUUGAGUUUUUCUUCUCUUAAGGAAUGAACUCCAUGCAAUGAACUUUCCUCUUAGUACUGCCUUCAUAGUGUCCCAGAGAUAUGUUUUGUUUUGAUAUGUUGUAUCAGUGUCCUCACUUACCUCUAAGAAUUUUUUAAUAUCUCCUCUUUGAUGUCUUCUGCAAUCCAUUGAUCAUUUAAUAGCAUAUUAUUUAGUCUCCAGGUGUUGGAGUAGCUUCUAUUUUUUAUUUUAUCGUUGAUUUCUAAUUUCAAUCCAUUAUGAUCUGAUAGAAUGCAAAGUAGUAUCUACCUUUUUGUAUUUGCUAAGAGUUGCUUUGUGGCAUAAUAUAUAGUCUGUUUUAGAGAAGGCUCCAUGUGCUACCGAGAAGCAAGUGUAUUCACUCAUUGAGGGAUGAAAUAUUUUAUAUAUGUCUGUUAAGUCUAAGUCAUUGAUUGUAUCGUUGAUUUCUGUAAUUUAUUUGUUUAGCUUUUGUUUGGAAGAUCUAUCCAGUGGUGAAAGAGGUGUGUUAAAUCACGCAGUAUUAUUGUGUUGUGACCUAUUUGACCCUUGAAAUUGAGAUGAGUUUGUUUGGUGAAUGUAGAUGCUUCAUUGUUUGGGGCAUAUAUAUUUAUAAUUGUAAUGUCUUAUUGAUGUGUGGCUCCCUUAAGCCAUAAAUAAUAUCCUUCUUUAUCCCUUUUGAUUAACUUUUUGGCUUGAAGACUACUUUAUUUGAUAUGAGAAUGGAAACCCCUGCUUGUUUCUGUAGUUCAUAUGAGUAAUAUGUUUUUUCCUAAACUCUCACCUUCCUUCAAUCUGUGGAUGAUUAUUUAUAUUCUUGAUGGCUGCCAUUCUUACUGGAGUGGGAUGAAAUCUCAGUGUAGUUUUGAUUUGCAUUUCCCAAAUUACUAAAGAUGUUGAACAUUUUUUUUCGUAUAUUUCUUGGCCAUUUAUAUUACUUUUUUUGAGAAGUGUCUGUUUUAAAGUUCAUUUGCCCAUUUAUUAGUUGAAUUUUUGUUUGGGGGGGUGUUAAGUUUUUUGAGUUCUUUAUAUAUUCUGGAUAUCAAUCCUCUAUUGAAAGAGAAUUUUCUUAAAUUCUGCAGGAUCUUUCUUCCCUGUCUUGUUUCCUUUGCUGUGUAGAAGCUUUUUAACUGAUACUAUCCCAUUUAUUAAUGUGUGGCAUUAUCUCCUGAGCUUUAGGUAUCCUAAAGUCAAUUGAGAAAGCUGUUGCUUAUGCCACUAUGUUGGAGUGUUGACCCUAUGUUUACUUCUAGGAAUUGCAUAGUUUCUGGUCUAAUUCCUAUGUCACUGAUCAAUUUUGAGUUUUGUAUAAGGUGAGAGAUAAGGAUGUAAUCUCAAUCUUCUACAUAUAUAUAACCAUUUUUUACAUCACCAUUUGUUUAAAAGGCUAUUUUUCCUCCAAUUUAUGUUUUUAGCAUCUUUGUCAAGGAUCAGAUGACUGUAUCUGCGUGGUUUUGUCUCUGUGGCUUAUAUUCUGCACCAUUGGUCUAUAUGUCUGAUUUUUAUGCCAGUCCCAUACAGUUUUUCUUACUAUAGCUCUGUCAUAUAAUUUGGAGCCAGGUAUUGUAAUGUCUCCAGCAUUGCUUUUUUGGUUUAUAAUUGCUUUGGCUAUUCUGAGUCUUAUUCUUCCAAAUGAAUUUAGGAAUAUUUUUUUUCUAGUUUUGUGAAGAAUGUCAUUGGUAUUAAUGGGAAUUGUAUUGAAUAUGUUUUUGCUUUUUGUAAUAUAGCCACUUUAACAAUGUUAUUUUUGCCUAUCCAUGAACAUGAGAGGUCUUUCCAUCUUUGUAUGUCUUUUUCGAUUUAUUUCUUCAGUGUUCUAUAUUUUUUAUUAUAGAAGUCUUUCACCUCCUUGAUAUUUUAUUUUUUAUUGUGAAUUGGGAUUAUUUUUCUGAUUUCUCUUUCAGUGGAUUUAUUAUUGGUGUAUUGAUUUUUGUAUGUUGGUUUGUAAUCUGCUGCUUUGUUGAAUUUUUUUUUUUUUAAUAGCUCUAGAAUCUUCUGGUGGAACUUUUUGGAUCUUGUAAGUGUAGAGUCAUGUCACUGCAAAUUUCUAUUAAUUCUUGUAUCUCUGUGCUGAGCUCCUGUUUUAUAUAGAAAUUACUUCAUUGGGCUUUUCAGAUUUUAAUUUAUCAGCAAUAUGUUCUGACAUAAUGUACAUCUGCUAUAUGAAAACAAUAUUCUUCUGAAAAGAGUCAUCACCUGUCAUUUUUUCCAAUUUGUUUUCAUUAAUUUCUUUUUAGUUGUAGAUGGGCACAGUAUCUUUAUUUUAUUUUACUUUAUCUUUAUGUGGUGCCAGGGAUUGGACCCAAUGCCUCACAUGUGCUACACAAGUGCUCCACCACUGAGCCACAACCCCAGCCCCACAAUUUAUGUUUUGUUGGAUUUUUUGCAGUGUCUUUAACAUAUAUGAUACCAUUUUUUAAUAAUUAUCAAACUCCAAAUGAGAUUAAUUUUCCUUUGUCUUUGGGGAUUCCUGUGGGGAAGGACCCAAGGCCAUGUUUCAAAGAGUUUUCUUUAUUUCCUUGUAAAGAUCCUUAUAGCAAUUAAUUUGUGAAUUCUUUUAACCUGUAUUUUCACUAAGACGAUGUUUUUGCAGUUUUAUUGCAUUAAUUUUCAAAUAAAAUGGACAAUAUAAACCUAUUUUAGAUUCUUUUUUAUUAAUUAUAAUGUAAAAGUUUCUGCAUGAAUAUAUAUGAAUAUAUGUAAGAAAAAUAGAUUAUAGAGAAUCUGUGGAUAUGUACACUAUUUUUUUUUAAGAUAUAGCCAACUAGCUAUUAUACUUAGGGACAAACUGGGGCAAUGACCCAAAAUGUCUUAUACCUCGAACUAGUUGUCCCACUGCAUUAAAACUCUAAAUCUAGAAUACAUUAAGAUUACCACCAUUCUGUGGUUAGCACACUCUUGACUUCUUUCUUAUACUUUAAAUCCGUCCUCCAUACUCUCCUCUGUAAUAGGAGAAAAUAGCUCUCAACAUCCCUAAGCAGAUGUGGUAAACCUGUUUAUAUGACUGGUUACAACAUAAUAAAGGGUUAUUAUAAUCAUUUUAUAGAUUAUAUUAAGUAAAUAUUUUAAAUGGACAGAUUACAGAAAUCUAUCAAAGCAAGACUUUGGAUUAUUUUUUGUUUGUUUGUUUCUCAGUGCUGGGAAUUGUACUUAGAGCCUUGUCCAUUCUAGUUGAGCAUUCUUCUACUGAGCUAUAUCUCCAGCCCAGGAUAAUUUUUAUAUUAUCUUUUUUUUUUUUUUUAACCAUGAACUCCAAGAAAAAUGAGAUACCAAUUUGGAACAGAUUGAAUAUUUCUGUUUUAACUAUUCAAGGAUGUGCCCCAAGUUCAGUAAUUUUGCUAAGACACAGAUCAAAAUAGAAGCCUCUGUGAAGCUUCCCAGCAUAUGAAGGACUUACCUUAUGUGUGUGUUUGGAGAUAUACAUAUUUCACAUUUCAGAAAGGUCUAUACAUAGCUCACCAAAUGGCAAAAACCAAUUAAAGCCACAUUGUUAGAAAACAAAGAUCCUAAGUGAGAGAUGAGGUGGAGAGUAUUUUCCUAUGGGAGGAAGGAAUAAAGAAAGGAAAAGAAGUCGUCCAGGAAAAGCUCCCAAUCUGAGCUUCAGCUAGUAACCAUGGGUCAUCUGCCCCCCUGCACACACUCAGGAGAAAGAGCACAGUUCCCAGGCAGGAGAAGGGUGACUAAGGCAUUGCUUUAAUAAGUAAGAUGAAAGUAAAGAGAUGACAGCUUCAACAUCUGAGAACUUAGGCCAUGUCUAAGAACUUAGGACAUAACAUGUUUUUGUCCAUAUAAAAUUUCCCCGGGGCUGUUGUCAUUUUUAAACAAUAUAAUCCAACAAAGGAGAGAGAAAGUUUCAGAACCUAAAUUUGAGAGCUCUAUUAAGACCAUCCAAUCACAAGCUCAAGGCCAGCCUGGUCUUUGUAAGACCCUCUUUCAGAAUAAAAAGGACUGGGGAUGUAGCUCAGUGGUAGGGCAUACCUGGGUUAAAUCCCCAGUACAGAAAAAUAAUAACACCAAUGACAAUUUAAACAUUAAGAGCCAAAUAAAAGGAAAUGUAUGAUAUAUUUUUUUUGGAGUUCAUUUUUUCCCAGAGUCAUUUUUGGAUUGCAUCCUCAUCUUGUAAAAGUAUGGGUACUCUGAAAAACUGGCCACUGGGAAUCCGAUGCCACUUAUAAAACAUCAGAGAAAUAAUAAUUGAUCUUCCUGUCUUACCAGGAUGUUAAUAUAAUUAAAUGUGACUAAAUAUGUGAAAGCACUUUAUACAAAUAUAAGUGUUUAAUGUUGUUAUUUUUAAGAUGUGAAAGGAGGCCAAACUUAUCCCAGUAGCCUGUUUUAAGCAGCUGCUAGGAACAUGUACUGGCAGCUAUCAUGUGGUGCCAAACCCCUUUUUACUACACCAGUGCAGAUGCAAACAGGUCUGCAGAAUGUAGCCUAGCAUUUUUAGCAUAUGAGUAAUAAGACGUCAUCUUCUCCGGUAGAGUUCAGCAUUUAGAAAUCUCUUUCCAAGGAAAAAACUUCAUUAACAGUUCUUGGAGGAAACUAUCACCUCUAGCCAGUGGUAGAACUCUACUCUCAAAUGCUUAGAAAUGUGUCUAACAGCAGGAGGAAAGAAAGAGUGGGUGACUACAGCUGCUCCACUGUACCCUGAAGAAAAUACACACACAUACCCACCCUCACCCUGCCCUUGCUACAUGAUACUGUAUGUAGUCUUUUCUGUUUCCAGUAGAGUAUUCUUCCAUUCUGUUUAAAACAAAAAAUGGCAGACCAAGGAGUUAGUCCAAGGAGAAGGUACGGGAUGGGUUGUAGGUAGUAAUAGCAUCAUCGCUCUGAGGUUAGGUCACCAAAACAAUUGAAUUCCUGUGGAAGCAAAAGGUUAGUGUUAGAGUACUAGUUGAUUUCCAACCUUUGCUUUAUGUUUUUACAAAUGAUUUCAAAAAAGACUAGGAGGACACCAUAGUGGGGGGAAGGGGAAGGCUGGAAGGCUGAUUCAUAAAGUGGUGAAAAGCAGUGUUGAAAACUCACUACCUCUGGCCCAGUUAGUCAAAGAGAUGUGUCAGCAAUUCCUGAGGCAGAGGUACAGCCUGCAGAGUCUAGUUGCGAGUAUCAUUAUUAUUCAACUUCAACAUAAUUACCAGUGUGUUUUGCACUAUCUAGAGCUAUGUUAUCCGACAGAGUAGCUGUUAACCAUACAGCUAUUUACAUUUUAACAAAAUUAAAAUCAUAAAUUCAGUUCCUCUGUCACCUAACCACUUUUCCAGUGCUUAAUCGCCACUUAUAAAUGACUACCAUAGUGGACAGUGCAAAGAGGAACUGUUUCCAUCAUCAUGAAAUAUUUUGUUUGGAAUUUAUUUAUUUAUUUAUUAUGAACUUGGGAUUCUUGUGAGAAAAAAAAAUUUGCUCUAACCUCUUUUUUUUAACAUUUAUUUUUUAGUUGUAGUUGGACACAAUACCUUUAUUUUAUUUUUUUUUUAAUGUGGCGCUGAGGAUCAAAACCAGGGCCCUGCAUGUGCUAAGUGAGAGCUCCAGCACUGAGCCAUAACCUCAGCCCCCUCUUUUUUUUUUUUUAACACUUAUUUUUCAGUUGUAGACGGACACAAUACCUUUAUUUUAUUUUUAUGUCAUUCUGAGAAUCGAACCCAGUGCCUCACACAUGCUAGGUAAGCACGCUUCCUCUGAGCCACAACUCCAGCCCAUGCUCCAUCCUCUUAAAACCCUAAGAGGUCCUCGUGAUUAAGAAAAGUCUGUCCCCAUCUCUCUUCUCUCUCCAACAAGUUUACCAGGUUGUUCUUUCAUUCUGAGAGCAAAAGUUUAAUGUUGAAUAUACUCUAUUUUAAAAUCAUAAUUUAAAGUCCAUAGUGCAAUAUAUAAAAUAAUUUCCCUUUAAAAACCCAACCUACCACUCUGUCUUGAUUAUUUUAGGGAUAAAUAAUAUUUUCAAAUGAACAUUAGGGUCCACAAAAACUAAAAUCCUAAAGCAGUGUGGAUGAUAUUUAUUACAGAUAUUUAUUUACAUGGUCUUAAUUGCAGAUUACAUUCUUUUUUACAAGACAUUGCAACCAUGUAAACUGACUGAAGAAUAUUAGAGAUUUCCUUACUGUAAAACAUAAGUUAUGGCAAUUUUUCUAAACAAUACUCAGUUACUAUACCAAAAAGUCCAGGAAGAUGCAGUUAAUUAUUCAAGACCAAGUGGUGGAAGCCUCAUUUUGGUUAGUAUAUUUUGUAGUCAGCCUAGUUCAAACAGCCUGUGUCUCUGUUCCCUGAGUCCUUUGAGGAUUCUAAUGCUUAGAAUGAGAAUAGCACCAAAUGUGAAACUUCUGGAGAGCAAAAAUUAAAGAGAAGUAUGUGCCCUUUAGUUUUCUUUAGUGGAAUUUCCCUCUCGGUGAAUGAAAUGUAAUUCAGCCCAUUGAAUCCUUGAAUGAUUUUAUUGCAUUGGAACUCCUAAAAGAAUUUUCUGAAAAACACUGCUUGCCAUUUCAACAACUUAAACCUGUUGCCUGUUCAGUCCCUUCAUAACAGACUCAUGUAGAUAGUGACUGACACAGUGCCAGGCUUUUCAGCACAGCAUGCCACAGCAGAAGAGAAGGGCAGGACCAGUAGGGUUAAGAGAAGAGCUUGCUGCCCUUUAUUUAUUAGCCAGCAGUGAAAACUGCAGAAAGUACAAGGAAAUAAUUAAGAAUUUAUAUGUGGAGCCCACCUUCAAGAAACUUAAAAGUCUAAUCAAGAGAAACUAAUUCCUCUGACUUAAGAGGAAACUUGCAAAGUAAUAUUAACAUGAGAAAAAUGGUACACAGUUAAAAGUCAAUGCAAAAGAAACUUUUUACAUUGUUUUGUUGCAACAGAGUUGAUUGUUCUUUUAGUCUUCUAGCCACACAAAUGCUACCUGCUCAACACUGUUGCAGGCAGUGGAAAUGCAACAGUGUUGAGCACCUGCAACAGUGGUGAGCAGGUAGCAUUUGUAACCAGAGCAGACUGACAAACCUGCCCUUAGAGAGCUUACCUUGUAGACGGGGAGAGAGAAGAGAAUAUUCCAGGGUGAUGAAUGGGAAGGAGUGAAAACACAGAGGAAGAUAGGGAAUGGAUUGCGAUUUUAAGAAGAGUGGUUAGGGUUUGUAAUAGGUCUUUUAUUUAAAUCGUAUUAUCAGCCAAUGUAAGGAAACAAGAGAAAAAGGGAUUCGUUUAUUCCUUGGCUGAAGUGGAGCCAGCCAAGCCCUCCUCUGUAGUGCAGGAGAAAGUGAAAAGCAUUUAGUGGAGGAGGGCAAAUGGCGCAGGUGGUAAAGGAAGGAGCAGUGUUUCCUGUUUCCUGGUCCUGGAUGCUUCCUUUGCUCAGGAGUAAAUUUGGUUUUGGGGAGGGUCACUUGGCCUCUGAGAUAAAAUGGGGUGGUCGAGUUAGAGAUGCUAUUCCUUAUUAUGGAACAUGGUUCCAUUCAUCUUCCCCUGAGAGCUCAGCACACACUGUGCUCUUAUUAAGGGCCCUAGUACAUUAUGAACUUGGGAUGCUGGAAUUUUCAAUUGUGAGAAAAAAUGUUGCUCUAUCCUCUUAAAAUCCUGUGAGGUCCUUGUGAUUAAGGAAAGUCUGUCCCCAUCUCUCUCCUGUCUCCAACAAGUUUAUCAGGUUGUUCUUUCAUUCAUUCAUUUAUCCCCCACAUUCAUGGAGUGAUCAAUAUAUAGAGAUGUUUUCUUUUUAAAGCAUAUAUAUUUCUUUAAUUACUGGGAGUUUUUGUUUGUUUCUGUUUUUGUUUUUUAAUGACUAUUAUCUAUUCUUGUCUCGUCUUUUCCUCUGACCCUUCGUUCUUUCCUUCCGGCAGGCCCAGAUCUCCUCUUAGUUGCAUAAGCCUGUCUUUGAUCCUGCUACUUGCUUGCUUGGCUCUAGAGUGAGCGCCUGUGAGACUCUUUCCUCCACCUUUGUUUCCUUCCAUUUUUAUUCCCCCAUCCCAACCCCUAUUCUGAUUAAGUGAAACAGUUUUCUCUAAGAUCACUAGAAAUUUCCAUUUUGCCACCUGCCUGUGGUCUUUUCUAAAUCUUUAUUUUAACUUGCCCACUGAGCUUCUUGGAAAAUCUCCCACCUUGCCUCAUAUUCCUUAAAUGAGAUAAAUGAAAGUGUGUCCUAAUGCCUGCCACACCGAGGCACUCAGCAAAUACUGGUUGGAUGUGAAUGAACUCCAACCAUGUGACUGACCUCAUCUUGGCUCUGUUCCAGCCCAGUGCCCUGCCCUAUGUACAUACCCAGUGUACUUUGACUUGCUUUAUGAAUAAAUAAAGGAAUAAAUUAAUCACUUUUUCUCUGUUUGCUUACACAGUUUUCCCUCCCCUUUCUUAUCUCAAGUAUAUUCUUAAGAACUGUGGGUCCCCAGUAAGGCCACUAAAUAAAUAAAUAAAACUAUUGUAUUAAAGGCUCUCUAUCGAUUAUAUCACACUUCUCUCAGCAACUUGAUGAGAGAAGUGUGAUAUAAUUGUUAUUCUUUACAUUGUUUGUCUUAGAACUCUUAAAUGACUUAUGGGGUCACACAACUAACUGGUAUAUUGUGGAGCCACCAGGUUUACUGAAAUUAUUCUAGAGCAUCUCCUUAUCAGCUCUCUGCCCUUAAAGAAUCCAUUCAUUCUCCUAAUGUCAGUUGUCAGUUUUAUGUUAGUGACACUUAAAUUUAUGGCUUUAACAAUUGACAUUCUAAAGCUGGUACAGUGCUGUUCACCUGUACUCUCAGCUAUUCAGGAGGCUGAGGUAGAAGAGCUUCUUAAGUCCAGAGGUUCAGGGCCAGCCUGGGCAGCAUAGUGACACCCUGACUCUUAAAAAAAUUUUUUUUCAAUUAACAUUUUAUCCUGUUCUUUAGCUGCUGCUCUGGGUUAUCUAGCCACCAUGUUGAACUUGUUUAGAACAGCCAUCAUCAAUAUUACCUCAAAUGGUGCUCCCUUUUCCUGAUAGUGAGAAUCUCACUAUCCUAAUGACUCAGACUCAAAACCAUCUUUAAUUUCUUUUCUCUUUUCUAUUUCCUUAUACGUCAACUGAUAAAGUAUAAUUCCAAGGGGUAUACAAAUACAUGACUAAUCCUUCCAUUCAUCUGCCACAGGUAGAUAGGUAGAAGAGUCGAUCUGAGAAGUGUCCCGGUUACUUCCCUUUAAUUAAUAACUUAUUUUCUCCUGUCACUUUAGAAAUAUACUGUGACAAGACUAAUGAGAACUGUUGAAACUUUUAUAGUUUCUGUGAAACUACUUCUUCACAGUUGUACAUGUUGGAUAAAUGACACAUGUUGCCAACUCACCAAUUCUUCCUACAGUUAGGGCUGAUUUUGUUUUUGCCAAAUUACAUAACCAGAAAUCUCCAGAAGACACGUCCUCAGGUUCUGUUGGUCAGAACUGGGUCACAUACCUAUCCCUAGACCAAUCACUGGCCAUUGGCAUUAAAAGAUUGCAUACCUAGCUUGCACCUGUUGAGCCUCACCCUCUAUAGAAGGGCAGAAGGCUGUCCAGUCGGCAGAAUAAAGGGGGGAUUGGCUGCCAGGAAGAGAAACAACAGGCAGAGUCUGCCAGAACGUUCUUUCUUCAUUUUGGAUUUGUCCAAUUCAGAACAUUCACAUCUUAGCCAACAAUCCUUCUGAAAAUAAAUAUUGUGAUUAUUUGCUUCAAGAGUGGAUUGGGUAUGUGCCAUCAUGGGGCACAGUGGUGCACACCUAUAAUCCCAGUGGCUGGGGAGGCUUAGACAGGAGGAUCAUGAGUUCAAAGCCAGCCUCAGCAAUGGGGAGGUGCUAAGCAACUCAGUGAGACCCUGUCUCUAAUAAAAUAUAAGAUAGGGCUGGGAAUGUGGCUCAGUGGUCGAGUGCCCCUGAGUUCAAUCCUUAGUACCAAAAAAAAAAAGGAUUAUAACUCCUGUGAACUCAGUGACUCAGGAGGCUGAGGCAGGAGAUUCACAAGUUUAAGGCCAGUCUCAGCAACUUAGUGAAACCCUGUCUCAAAAUAGAAUCAAUAGGGUUGGGGGUGUGGCUCAGUGGUAGAGCAUCCCUAGGUUCAGUCCCCAGUACUACAAAAAGAAAAAAAAAAAAAACUUAAUUAUAAUGCAUAGAACAUAUAGAAUAUUUGUCGUAAGGAAAUAAUUUAAGGAGUUAGAAAGGUAUCCUCCCUGUUGUUCUUUAACCCAACAUUUAUGGUAGUAUCAAUAGAUACAGGAACUUGCACUUAAUUUGGCAAUAAUAGCUAAGAGCUUAAAAGAAUUUAAAAAAAAAAAAAGAUUGAUUUGUGAUUUGAUACAGCCAGCCUUCUGCUUGAACUAUCUCACAUAAUCCCUACAACAAUCUAUAAGGGAUGUAUGUUUAUAUUUUCCCUUUUGUAACCACUAGAAAACCAAAGCUAGGAGAGGUUAAGUUACUUCUCCAAUUCAAAACAUGAGUAAUCUCGCAUCUGAGUCAAUGUUCUAAACUGGCGCUAGGCUGCCUUCAGCCUUGGACAAGAAUGAGCUAGCGCCAAAUCCUUCCAGGAUGCACUGUCACUUAUCCCGACACCUGGGGCUCUUGACCUAGUUUUCCCUCUUGCCAAUGGUUUUGCACUGCCUGCCACCACCUCCAACAGUGUGGCACUGUGAUCAGUGAGGGAGGGUGGUGCAGGUCACCCUGACUUCCUGUCCCUAUCUGGGCAGAAAACCAUGUUUGUCCCCCCACUUAGGAGUGAAUCGGGACAGAAAAUGACAGGAGACACCUACUAGAAAAAUAUCCCAAAGCCCACAGAUAUUCUAGAUGAGGUAUUUUGAAUGUGAAUUUUGGUCAUAGUGGUGUAAUUCUGUGAGAGUUAGAAGGAAAUAUUCCGAGAGGAAUAAAACAUGAUCAUAAAAAAAUGACCAUCUCCCGCCUUUCUUAGUCUUGAUGCACUCCUUCUCAUCUUGAGUUUAACUUUGAAUAUUCUGAUGUCUACUUCUGGCUUUAAUAACUGCAAGUUUAAAUUUUAAAAAAAGAAUAAAUGUCGUGAUAAAGCCCCAUUCCCGAAUUCUUCUGCCUUGGGGCAGGACUCUGGCUCUAAAGGACAGGGUUGCUUAUGGUGAUAAAGGUCCUUAAAAUUUCAACAAACACUUAAGAAAAACUACUACUAUUAUUAUUAUUACUACUACUACUACUACAGUGCUGGGGAGGGAACCCAGGGCUGAGCAAUUGCCCUGUACCUCUGAGCUAUGUCCCUAGACCACAAACAUUUAUUGUUAAAUUCCCUCUGUACCAGGCACUCUAUGUGCUAGAGUUUUUCAUUUUUUGUUUUGGUUUGUUAGCUUCCAGGAACUAUUUUUGCUUUGAUAUUUCCCACUCAUGAAGCUUUAAUGGAGCCUUCCUUGAUGGUGACAUUUGCAGCUGCUGUUGGCAUUAUACUAUCAAACAUUUAUCAAGCAACAAGAAAACCCAGGCAGGUGUAUAUGGAGAGGGGAAAAAAAAUGUAGAACUAAACCAUUAAUACUCAAAGAAGAACUGCAUUUGGUUAUUUCUGGCUGUAGGAGAAAGGUAAUAAAAUACCCAGCGGCUCAGGAGGCAGAGGCAGGAGGAUCACCAGUUCAAAGCCAGCCUCAGCAAUUUAGCGAGGCCCUGAGCAACUCGGCAAGACCCUGUCUCUAAAUAAAGUACAAGAAAAGGGCUGGGGAUGUGGCUUAAUGGUUAAGCGCCCCUCGGUUCAGUCCCUGGUGCCAAAAAUAAAUAUAAUAAAAUAAAAACUUUCUUUGAAAAGUUCAAAGAAAGGAGAGAGGUGAGCAGAGAACAAGGAAAUAAAUUAGGCUACUGACGCAUUCAAGUGUUGAGCAGAAAGGAUAAUAGAAUUCAGGAAUAAACGGGUUCUUUGCAAAGUAGCCCCUACUAAAGCUUUCCUUUUCCUGUGUGUUCAUGUGUAGUAUAGAGAAAUUAUUUAGAAAACUUGCUCUGUGUUCAUUUUUGUUUAGCGGAGCUUCUAGGUUUGUAAACUUCCUUCACUCUGCUAACCCUUGUCUCUUUGGGGCUCAGAUCCCAGCUGUCUCACACAAACAGCAUCUCUCAGUAUUAUCUCUUUUAUUGCUUGAUAUUCAGCUCACAUUUACUUUGUCAGACGUUUGGAAGUUACCAGACAGAUGCAGAUUCAGGGCCGUGCCUGCCAAAGUGCUGAGCAGAAAAGAGACUUUCUUUUACACCUUCCAUCUUUUGAGCCUUUGGACCAGCCCUUGGAGUCUUUGCUAAAUAGUAAAAUGGGAGAUGGUGAUUGUUCAGAUGACCAUGGUGCAUUUGCAUUACUGAGUUUGUUGUCUCUAGUUCUAAAAAGAUUUUUUAUAAUUUCCUUAUCGUCAAAGGAGCCGCCUUGAUUUCCUUUGAGAAUGGUUCCCAGCUGACAUUAUAGACCUAGCACAAAAGCAAUUCAUACCCUCGUGAAAUGGCUCUAGCCCAGCAGCUAGCCCAGCAGCGCAGCAAUCCUGCUUCGUUUGUACAUACUAGGCUUUAAUUACAGGUUAAGGAGAUGGAUGGAAAAGAGAGCCCAAAAUACCCACUGCCCCCAAAUUGAGCUCCAUCAGAGAAGCUGAGCACUCUCAACAGAGACCUGCAGGAGCUUCAUGUCAUAACUGGGAGUCUUCCCCGCUAGUUGUUAGAGACAAAGAUAAACAUUUAAGGUUUUGUUUUUUUUAAUAACCCCCAGUAAUUUAAACAUGGCACAAAUAGAACUGUUAGUAAUUCACAAAAUUGUGAGAAUGCCGAAGUACCUUGGACCUAUUGAAAAGCAUCUCAAGACAUAUUUUGGGCCCUUUUUGAUUUACUAUUGUGGACUAUUAUUUAUUGAUUUUUAAAAGAUGAGCACUGUAUUCCAAAUUCAAAAUAGCUGAAAAAGGCAAAUGCUUGCAUAAGUCUGUUAUGUGUUUGUAUUAAAUUGAGAGAAAUCAGUGUAGAGGGAGGAAAGACAGCGCUGAAACAGAUGAAUAUUCUUCAAAGAUUUUGGAAGAUUUUAAUUUUUUUAUAUUAAAGGGGUCCUUUUUAAAUUUUAACUUUUGGGUAUAAUCAGCCUUUCAUUUAAUCUCAUCUUUUAAACUACAAUCAUGUGUGGCUUAACAUUGGAGAUAAAAGUCUGAGAAAUGCAUCUCUAGGCAAUUUUUGUCCUUGUGCUCACACAGACCUACAUGGUUGCGCUCACUACGUACCUCUGCUGCCUAGUGCAGCCUAUUGCUAUGGGAAGUGGUAAGUAUACAUGUAUCUGAAUGUACCUAAACAGAUUUGUUUACACUAUCAUCACCAUGAUCACAAGAGUGAUGUAUGGGGGACAUAUCACUAGGCCAUACAAACUUUUCAGCUCCAUUAGAAUCCUAUGGUACCACCGCUAUGUGUACGGUCCACCAUUGUCUAUUGAGGUAUAUGAGAAUUGAACCCAGGGCUUCACGCAUACUAAGCAUGUGCUCUGCCAUUGAGCUGCGUCCCCAGCCCCACAUGCAGGCCUUACCACUUCCAUUCCUUAGUUCCAAGCACCUUCAUAGCUCUCAGCCUUCUCACUGGACUCCCUGCUUCAGUUUACUCUGAACGUGGCAGAGGGAUCCUUUAACAUGGAAGUUAGAUUACAGUUCCCUUAAGACCCUGUAGUUGCUCCCUAUUUCAGAGUAAGAACUGGAAUCUGUAACAAGAUUCUAUGAGGCCCUGUAUGGCCUUCUCCUUCCCGUUUCCACUCUGGCCUUCCCUGCCCCAGGAGGGCAUUUGCACUAGCUGGUCCUCUGCCUAAAAAACAUCCCCCAGAUUUUAGCACCCUCUUGAAUUUGAGAAGGAUCAAUUUCACCUUUUUGAGCUCUAUCCUGCUUACCCUGUUUAAAACUGCAGCUUUUUUUUUCUUUUUUUCCAAAACACUCAUCAUUAUUUUAUAAUACUGAUUUACCUUAACAUGCUUAUUGUUAAUUAUUCAUUUUCCUCCAAUAGGAUUUGAGCCCCACAAGAAUAAGGAGCUUUGUUUUGUUUCUCCAGGUACUUAGAACUGCAUAUAGUAGGCACUAAGUAAACAUUUGUUCAAUGAACUAUAGAUAGGUUGAAACUGCAAUUCAAGUUACCCAUCUAAAUCUUUAUUUUUAAAAAUUGUGUCAUGCUGCUAUAAGAGCAGGAGAGAAGAAUCACUUCUAUGUGAAGGAAAAGUUGAACAAACCUGUUCUCCAGUGGAGGAAACGAUUGUGUUCACAGUAAACUAUUAAUAUAAUAUCAGAUGAGAUUUAUGAAGACAAAGUUCCAUGGUAACUAAAUUCUGCCAGAGGUAGACUUUAACUGGGUCUAUAAGGAGCAAUUGGAUUUUAACGUCUAAAAAGUGAAAGACAAGCAGAGCCCAGAGACUAUGUAAGUAACUAGUACACUCAAGGAAUAACUAGGAAACUGGUAAACUAGAAUUGAAGCCAUGUUAGCAGCCUUGACUAUGUUGGUAUGGAGUUUGGGUGUCUCCGUCAAAGAUUUUUGAACGUGGGGUGAUGCUUUAGCGCCCUCUGCAUUAGGAAGAUGACCUUUGGGGCGUGGAUGAGAGCGGUGGGAAGCCAGAAGAUUCGGGAUACCAGUCUUACUCUAGGUGUCAAAGUCAGUUGUUAUGGGACUGUUUACUUUUUAAAGGCGAUUGAAUAUUGAUUUUCUGUGUUGGCUGGAAUAACAUGGGCUCAUAGGCAGUGCCUGCGAGAGACACCUGCUGAGUUUGUGUAUGGCGACUUGCAACAGAGUGAAGGGCGCUGGCAUGUGUCCUACCUGCACAUGCCAGAGCCGGCCAUGUCUGCCAGUGGCAAAGCAGAAUUAAAAGGGAUUAAGAAUGCUGAAUUGUCUCACCAUUAGAAACCAGGCGAGAGUUUCAAGUUUUAAAUGCUAGCAUUCGAGUAUGUAAAGCCUCUCCCAAGGUCCCUGUACAGGAUCAUUUCUGAUUUUGGAACUCUCAGGCUUCCCUUGUCCUGAAUUUGCACACCACUUUUCACAGAAUAGAAAUUCUCAAUGAUGACAUUGACUUUCUUCUUCUCCUUCUCCAGAUCUGGGUCUCUCUCUGUUUCCCAGGCUGUUCUUAAACUCCUGGCCCAAGCAGUCCUCCUGCCUUAGCUUCUUGAGUAGCAAGAACCACAGGUGUGUCCCACUUUGUGUGUGUGUGUGUGUGUGUGUGUUUUAAGCACAGAGUGAACGUUUUAGAUGAGGAGGCUGAACCUUCUGGGUUAGCCUUGGGAAAAACAAAUCAAAAUGAUGAAGCAGUUGGUAUUCGGGCUUCUUGUAGGCUUGAUGGACUCCUGUAUAAUUUAACAACUCAUUAAUUUCUGAAGUCUUUCAAAUAAUAAUUUAACUAAAAACUCUCCCAUAGUGGUUAAAAGACUGGGCUUGAGGUUCAGCAGCCUAAAUUUGAAUCCCAGCUUUGCCCCCCACUAGUCUGUGAAGUCAGCCCUUGGAUUUUUAUCUGUGAAAUGAGAUCCAUGAUAGUUCUUUCACUGUUAUCUAAGGCUUGAAUGAAGUAAUGUGUGGUGCUUUGCACAGAGAGAGGAGUGAGUAAAUAAAUGUUAGUUUAAUGGAUUGCAUUAAACUAGACCCGUAUGGGAUGAACUCGCCUUUCUGUGCUCAGUGCCUGUAGUAGUCUAAGACAAGUGCUUGCAGAUGUUCUCUUUCCUGUUCGUUCCAAGAUUGGUUCAUUUACCAAAAGCAACAAUGAAUGAAUGUUCAAGAUAUCCUAAUAUAAGGCUGAAUGAAGUCCUACAAAUCAAUAUAAGUGAUAUUUUAGUCUUGCUGACUAAAAGCAGACCUAAGUAAUGGACUCUAAAAUACUUAAUGCAAAGACACCAUGUAUUAUGACUUUCAUGUGGGAAAAAUAUAUAACAGGAUUACAUUUUUGUUUAAUAUGUAGUGUACAUUUUAUUUUACUUGUAUAAAACUAAUACAUCUAGAUUCUGACUCCAGGGGGUUUACAGAUGAUUCAAUAAGUUCCAGCUUUUUGUUUUGUUUUGUUUUGUGAUACUGGCUGGGCAGUGCUUUACCCCUGAGCCACACCCCCAGCCCUCAAGUGCUAGUUCUUUAGGAGACCCAUAAAAACAGAUUGGUCCUUUAAAAAAGUAAGUUAAGAGUCCCAAUACAGUUGAAAUGAUUGACAUUUGGGUAUCAUGUAGCUUAGUAUAAUAGUACAUUUCCAAAGUAAAGAUCAAGUUCAUUUUAAGUAAAGCAACCUGUGUAAUUAGUAUUAAAAAAAAAAAAAAGGAAGAAACAAUGGAUACGUGCUUUACAGAAAUAUUUAUCAUUAUGUUCCUUAAAAUAGUAAAUACCCCAGUACAUUUGAUAUAUAGAUUAAUGUGCUUCAGCAGUAUAUUUUGGCUAUGUAUCAGGUAAUCUGUUAGGCUAUGGCCAUAUGAAUAUGACUCCUGCCCCUUAGUAGCCUAUAGUCUAAUGGGGAGGUAUUUCUCUAAGACAACCUAAAUUGUUUCUGGUAAAUACUGUACAUUAAAAAUAUUUACAGUACACUUCUGCAGGAAUGUAAAGGAACAUCUAUCUUAGCUUACGGGACAGCCAGGAAAGUUUCCCAUAGGGCAUACGUUCUUGGAAGAUUCCUGAACAUUUGGAUAGCUAGGAAGAAGAGCUUUCUUCCUUUCUUGUCAGCAGGGGCUUCUCUAUAUGGCAGGGCAGUAAUAGAGGUAGCUGAGGCAUCUGGUUUGAAGCCCAGAGUUACUAAGGACAGGAUGUGCCACAGAGAAUCUCAUAUGCCAAGUCCAAGGAGCUUGGGUUUUCUGUCCUAUACAGAUGGGGAUUAACUAGCUUUAAGUAAGGGAGUGGUGUGAUCAGGUUUUACUCUCAGGUCGAUGUUGGCAGAGGUUUAGAGGAUGGAUUCCAUUCAUAAACAGCUUUACAGAGUAUUUAUAAUCAGAUGGCAUAUGGAGGGCUCCUAGGGUUCACUCUUUCUAAAUUCCAAGAAACUCACUCAAAGAUAAAGAAACUACUUUACAUACCCAAAGAGGAAAAUAGUUGUAAUCACUUUUAUCUUGAGGAGCUUAACACAUCUUAGGUUUAUAUUCAGAGGCAGAAUUCUUUAAAUGUCAAAUAAAUUUAAAGAGUCUUUGGAAAGCUGGGGAUGUGGCCCAGCAGUAGAGCAUGUUCUUGACAUGUGCAUGGCCCUGGGUUACAUCCCCAUCAUCAAAAAGUAAAUAAAAUCAUCUUUGGAAACAGACUUUAGGUCAAGGUUGUACACUUAACCAAGCACAUGUUCUCUAAUAGCCUUUAUUUGGGAGGGUUGGUUUUGUUUUGUUUUAUUUUUUCAUUUAUUGGGCAGAGACUCAGUACAGUUAUAAACUUCCCCUUGAUUUUCUUGAUAUUCUUUAAUACCAUUUUUACCACUCUUUGAAUUAUCAAGAUAUAUUUUGAAAAGGAAAAGGAUUAUCAAAUAUCAGUUUUUCUGACCCUAAAGAAUACAUUUUGACUACUAAAUUAGUAAUCCUUUGAAUAUUGUCCAAAUAGUUCUUCAGCAUGCUGUCUUAGUCUUCUCUGGUUGCUGUAACAAAAGACCUCAGAGUGGGUGGCUUACAAUAGAAAUUUGUUUUCUCACACUUGGGGUGGCCAGAAGUCCAAGAAAGGUGCCUGCAGAUGUGUUUCUGGCAAGGGCUCUCUUCCUGGCUUGCAGAUAGUUGCCCUCUUGCCACCUGGUCACAUGGCCUUUCUCUGGUAUGCUUGCUCUUCCCCUUCUCUGGGCACCAAUCCUGUGGGAUUAGGGCCCCACCCUUAUGACCUCACUUAAUCUUAAUUGCCUUCGAAGUACUGAAGUACUGUAUCUCCAAAUGCGUCAGAUGGAGCAUGAGUGUUUCAACAUAUGAACUGGGAGGUGCGGUGGUAAGAAGACAUAAUUUAGUCUAGAACAGAGGCCAGAUAGACACUUUUCAAAGAAGUUAAUAUAAUCUUAAGUAUAUAUAGUUUAAUUUUGAAAUCUUUGAGUUUUUAAAGCUGGUUAUGCUUAAGGAAAACUUUUCAAGGCAACAAAGAAAAACAGUCCCAAACAAACAAACAAAUAAAAAACAACUUGCUAAUAGCUGUGACAUUUUAGCAAAAUUGCAUGCUAGAUAAUCCUUCAUUAGCUGUAGGAAGGUUUAUUUUCAAAGCUUUUAUUUCUGCAUGUUCUAUUAUCUUUAAUGCCUGGCAUUGUAAUUGUGUAGCAGGGAGUGAAUAGUUAUAAAUACAGAGCUCUUACAGUGCCCUCCUGUACUUGGUGAUCAGUGUGGCAGCAAAACUUGCAGAAGCUAAAGGUGGUUGUGUCUUAGCCUCUUCUUUUAUUUGGCUUUAGAACAAUUAAAGUAAAGAUUGCUGGGAAUUUUAGUUGUAAAUUGAAUUCAGACCAUUUGUGUGUGUCAAUCUGAAUGAAAGAUUUUUAAGCUGAGCAACAUGCCAAAAUCACACUUUGAGUUGAAGCAAAACUUAGAAAUUGUAUGAACCAGCCAGGCACAGUGGUGCAUGCACGUAUUCCCUGGGUAACUCAGUGAGACCCUGUCUCAAGAUUAAAAAAAAAAAAAAAAAUUUAAAGGACUGGGGUGUAGCUCAGUGGUAGAGCACUUGUCUCCUAUGUGUGAGCUUCUUGGUUCAAUCCCUACUACUGCUUUAAAAAAAUUAAUUUAAAAAAGAAAGGAAGUUAAAGAAGAAAAGAAGAAAGGAAAGAAAGAGUAUCUCAACCAGCCCAACACCAGGAAACUGGGGCUUAGAAAAAAAAAAAUUUAACUUGAUCAAGACCACAGAGCCAGACUUCCAUCUUCCCAUUCAGAAUUCUUUUCACUAUACCAUGUUUCCACCCAGCUGUCAAGGAAUUCACCUAGGCUACCACGGCACAGUUACCAACUCAUUAUGCUUAAACUACUUGGGAACUCCUUGAGCCCCUCUUAGAUCCAUUUCAAAUCUAAAAUUCUGAUUAUAAAGGGAAUGUAACACCCUGGCGCAGAGGCACACACCUGUAAUCCCAGCAACUCGGCAGGCUGAGGCAAGAGGAUCUUGAGUUCAAAGGCAGCCUCAGCAACAGCGAGGCACUAAGCAACUCAGUGAGACCUUGUUUCUAAAUAAACUACAAGAUAGGGCUGGGGAUGUGGCACAGUGGUUGAGUGCCCCUGAAUUCAAUCUGUGGUACCAAAAAAAUAAAAUAAAGGGAAUGUAACAACAUAUAUGAAACAUGGAUCAAUUUAUCAACUAAAAGAUCAGUUUGUUCAUUCUAUUACUUUUCCAUUUCCUUUUUAAAAAAUAUAUUUCCAAAGAUAGACAGUGGCUGCCUCUAUUUUCCCCUUUAUAACGACAUGAAGCAAAUGUCAGAGUGAUCUUUAAAAAAUAUAAGAACCUAAAUUUUAUUCCUGUUAGUAUUCUUUUGAUUACUCACCUCAAUUUGUUGGACUUCAGGCAGUCAUUUUACUCUUGAUUAUUUAUUGAGUGGGGUAAAUGCCUAAUUAUAGAAAUUCAAUAUUAUAUGUUUAGCAUUAGUCUAGCAUUCACUAAGGAUCCAACUUUGGGGUGUUCCCGAAGGGGUUGUCCUUAGCUGUGUGACUCCUCUGCAGUCUUCCCUGGAAUCACCACAGCUCCUUGACCUUCUUAUCAGCCUGCACAAGCGAUUUGCAGACCUGACCUGGCUCCAAAAUCCGAGUCUCCCCAAUCUCUGCUUCUUUCUACCUGCUGUGUGUCUCCUCCACCUGAACGCCGAUCUAGCACUUAAAAUCAAUUUGGCUAGAAAACACUCUUCAUCUUUUCCCCCAUUAAACCUGUUGCAACCAGAGAUUCUCUAUUUUUGUUCAGAGAACAAACGUCCUGUCCUUCCUGUCAUUUGCUGUGAAGCCUCAGAGCUAAUUCUGUCUUUUCUGAGCUGCACAGCCAAUCAACUGCUCAUUUCAUCACACUACUAUUAUGUUUCUUGCAUCCAGAUUCAUGGACUCACGGCGAGAUAUCUACCUCUGCUUUCGAUUUUAUUGCCAAUAUUCUAGAAUAAACUUUCUUGUUUGAGAUCCCUCCCUUGACCCCCGCCCCUCCCCACUUCAGUCUCCUAUUCUAACUCAGUCCUUAACAAACAUCUUUUUUCCCCCAGUGCUGGUCAUUGAACCCAGGGGCACUUUUCCAAUGAGCUACAUCCCCAACACCUUUCAUUUUUUUAUUUAGAGAUUUCACUAAAUUGCUCAGGCUAGCCUCACAUUUGCAAUCCUCCUGCUUCAGCUUCCAGACUUGCUGAGAUUAAAGGCUUGGGCUACCACACCCAGAUUAGCCAUCACCAUUUCUUGGCUGGACUUUUACAGUGGCUUCUUUCAGGUCUCCUUGGGGCUUUUUGUUUGUUUGUUUUUAUUUGGUUUUAACUUUUUUAACUGGUCCAUAAAAACAAAAAUAUAUAUAUGGAGUAUCCUGAAGAUAUAAACCUCUCUACAAACAUUUAUCAUUUAUUUUUUUUUUAAGAGAGAGAGAGAGAGAGAGAGAGAGAGAGAGAGAGAGAAUUUCAAUAUGUAUUUUUCAGUUUUUGGCAGACACAACAUCUUUGUUUGUAUGUGGUGCUGAGGAUUGAACCCGGGCCGCACGCAUGCCAGGCGAGCGCGCUACCGCUUGAGCCACAUCCUCAGCCCCCAUUUAUCAUUUCUUUACAGUGAAAAUGCUUAAAAUCAUUCUUCUCACUUUUUGAAAUAUAUAGUAUGUUUUCAUUAUCCAUAGUCACAUUCUAUGCAAUCACACGCUAGAACUUCUUGUUCCCAUCUCACUGUACUUAGUGUCCAUUGAUGAUCCUCUCCCCUACUCUCCCCAGCCUCUUUACUCUAAACUUCUUUGAGAUCAACUUUUAUAGAUUGUAGAUAUGAGUGAGAUCAUCUGGUGCUUGUCUUUCUGUGCUUAGCUUACUUCACUUAAUAUAAUGAUCUUCAGUCCCAUCUGUGUUGCUACAAAUGACAGGAUUUUAUCCUUUUUAUAGAUGAAUAGUAUUUCGUUACAUAUAUGUACCACAUUCUCCUUAUUUAUCAAUUGAUACGCACUUAGGUUGCUUCCAUUUCUUGGCCAUUGUGAAUAGUGCUUCAAGAAACAUGGGCGGGCUAAUGUCUCUUCAACAUACUGGUUUCACUUCCUGUGGAUACAUACUCAGUAGUGGGAUUGUUGGAUCAUAUGGUAGUUCUAUUGUAAAUUUUUUGAGGAACCUCCAUAUUGUUUUCCAUAACGACUGUACUAAUUUGAAUCUCACCAACAAGAGUUCCCUUUUCAUCCUCUUGUUACUUUUUAUGUUUCUUAGAAUAUCAUUCUUGGGCUGGGUUGUGGCUCAGUGGGAAAGUGCUUGCCUAGCAUGUGUGAGGUAGUGGGUUCGAAUUUCAGCAUCACAUAUAAAUAAAUAAAAUAAAGGUCCACCAACAACUAAAAAAUAAUAAUAAGUCAUUUAAAAAAAGAAUACCGGAGGCUGAGUUUGGCCAGCCUCAGCAAGUUAGGGAGGCCCUAAGCAACUUAGUGAGAUCCUGUCUCAAAAAAAGGACUGGGAAUAUGGCUCAGUGGUAAAGCACCCCUGUGUUCAAUCCUCAGUACCUUAGUAAAUAAGAAGGUAUAAGGUAGCAUCUUUCUGAGAUUAAAGAAAAAUCACAUUAAGACAUAAAAAUUCUUCAAAAUUACAAAAGUAUAAUUUAUAUAGAAUUAAGUUGUUACAAUUGAACUAUUACUUGAUAUAUAAUCACCCAUACUUACAAAACAGAUGUGACAGGCACAGUAGUCUCUUAUAAUUUUUAGAAAAUAAAUUUUUGAGCCAGACAUGGGGAUGCAUACCUGUAAUCACAACAACUUGAAAGGCUGAGGCAGGAGGAUUGCAAAUUCAAGAAGAGCCUCAGCAACUUAGCAAGACCCUAAGUAACAAAAAAAAAAAAAAAAACAUUCAUGCUGCAGUGAGUUGAUAUCUCAUUAUGCUUUUGAUCUGCCUUUCCCUGAUGAAUAGUGAUGUUAAUUUUUUUCAUGUACUGGUUUGUCAUUUAUAUGUCUUCUUUUGAGAAGUGUCUAUUUAGGUUUAUUGCCCAUUUUUUAAUAGAGUUAUUUUAGUUUUUGCUAUGGAGGUUUUUUUGUUUGUUUUUUAAUUCCUCCUGUAUCCUGGGUGUUGACCACUUUGUCAGCUGUAGAGUUCACAAAUAUUCUCUCCCUUCUGAAGGUUGUUUCUUUACUCUGUAGAUUGUUUCCAUUGCUGUCGCAGAAGCUUUUUAGUUUGAUCUAAUCUGAUUUGUCUCUCUUUGCUUCUGUUUCAUGUGCCUUCGGGAUCUUGCCCCCAAGUUUCUUGCCCCUUCUCUGUACUGAAGCGAACCCCUGUGUUUUCUUCUAGUAUUUUCAUGGUUUCAGGUCUUACAUUUAAGUCUCUUAAUUCAUUUUGAGUUAAUUUUUGUAACUGUGAGAGAUCAAGGUCCAAUUUCAUUCUUCUGCAUAUGAAUAUAGAUUUUUCUUUCUUUUUAGAUUUCUCUCUUUUUUUUUUUUUUUUUUGACCUUUCUCCUAUACAAUCUAUUUUCCACAGAGCAGUCCAGAUGACUUUUAAAUAUAGGUCACUUCCUUACCAAAUGGCCUCAGUGGCUUCUCAUCUCACUUACUUAAAAAAAAAAAAAAAUCCAAAGUUUUUUUUAUAUAUUGACAAAUUAUAAGGUAUACAAGUGAUAUUUUAUAAGGAUACAAUUUGGAAUGAUUAAAUUAAGAAAAUUAACAUAAAUCUCACAUUUUAUUUAUUCUUUCUGUCCAACUGAAACUAUCUUUAUUUUUGUUGUUGUUUUGUUGUUUUGUUUUUUUGUUUUUAUAUCAGGGAUUGAAUUCAGUGGCGCUUAACCUGUGAGCCACAUCCCCAGCCCUUUUUUUUAAAGAGACAACAGGGUCUCAUCAAGUUGCUUAGGGCCUUGCUAAGUUGCUGAGGCUGGCUUUGAACCUGCGAUCUUCCUGCCCUUGCGACUGAGAUUACAGGUGUGCACCACCAUGUCUGGCUAAAACUGUCUUUUUUCCCAGCAUCUCCCCAUUCUCCUAACGUCAGGGUCUCUGGUAAUCAUCGUUCUAUUUGGCUUCUGUGAGUUCAAAGUUGCUUUAGAGUCCAUGCAUAAGUACCGUAUUUCUCUCCCUGUGCCUGGAUUUUAAAUCUGUCUUAAUUUUGUCGGGGAAGGCCUUAGCCCCUCUGCUGCAUUGUCACAUCACCGUUGCUCACUGUGCUCUGCCCACCUUUGCCUGUUGGUUGUCCGGGCUUACCCCAAACAAUCUUGCCCUCCCCUCUGCCUGGAGCACCCUUUCCUGCUGUGGAUCUUCAGAGCUUACUCCUGCUUUUUUCAUCUUCACAUCUGUUUCCUUAUCUGCCAGAACCGGUCUGUCAAUUGACCCUGUUUCAUUUAAGUUUUUCUUCUUAAUAUUUGUUAGUAAAUGCCAUAUCCAUAUGUGUCUUCCUCCAGUAGAAUAUAAGCUCAGGAAGAACGUAAAGCCUUGUUCAGUGCUGGACACAUACUAGGUACUUAAUAUAUAUUGGCUGGGGCUGGGGCUCAUUGGUGGAGUGCUUGCCUCACAUGUGUGAGGCACUGGGUUCAAUUCUCAGCACCUCAUAUAAAUAAAUGAAUAAAAUAAUUCCAUCAACAACUAAAAAAGUUUUUUUGAAAUAUAUAUUUGAUGAAUGAAUGAAUGUGUAAAUAAAUUAAUAAAGCAAUUAACCAAAAGAAAAUUUAAGAAAAAUGUUAGGGAUCUUUAAAAUUUUUUCAAUAUAGGAUAUAAAUGAAUAUUAAACAAAUUUGAGAAACUUUAAGAGUCAAUUAUUAUUAGUGUGUAUUAUAAUUAUUCAGUUUUCAUAUCAUAUUCUUGAUAUAUAUGAAUAUAGUCUAUAAUAAAGACUUCAGAAGUUGGUCAAAUCUGUUAGAAUAACUUGGAAUUUUUAUAGACAGAUGAUCACCAUUUUUGUCCUGGUCUUGAUUUUAAGACCCACGUAAAGUAUCUUUUUUUAUGAAAUAAAUGUAUAGCUGAUCUCAAGUUGCUGGCCUCAUGUCAAAGUAGUAGACAGAACAAAAUAGAGAUAUUGAGUAUUAAAUUUAAAGAACCCAACGGAGCCUUUCCUUUCCCAUCUGUCUCUUUUUUUUUUUUUUUAAGAGAGAAAAGUAAUACUUAGUAAUAAACCAAAACAAUUGAUACGUUUACUUUUUAGCAUACAUAGAUAAAUCCAUAAGGACUGUCUAGAAGAAUCUUCAGGUGACCUGGGAGUGGCCUAAAGAUUAUCAUUAUUAUGAACAUCAAUAAAUCUGGCCACUUCUGCAUUAUCCGACAAGUAGAACUUAGAUGACCGAAAGGUCCCUUUCCAGCCAUCAAAUGCCAUGAUCUCUGUACAUGAUGGGCUGUCUGAUCAUAGUGCAUAAAAGCAACUGUCAUGUAAUUUUAUUUUCACUGUGAAAGUACCAUAAAAGCAGUUUCCUGACCUCAUAAUAAUAGUUAAAUAUUGGUGGCAGACUCAAGCAACAACUAACAAAAAUAAGUUUUCUUUUAGUUUCUUUGAAGAUAAUUCUUUUCAAGUCUGUAUGGAGGGUUGCAUGGUAGGAAUAGAGGGUUGAGGAAAACCAGCAUUGUGCUAGUCCUUACUGUGUGGCUUUGGAAAAGUCAUGCCACCUAUUUAUAGUUCACUUUUUAUUCCUAUAAAAUGGAAGAUUUUUUUUAACCUGGUCUAGUCUAUUCUCUGUGAGAAAGAUAAUUAAUAAAAUAAGUUAUUUACAGAGAUACAUUUACUGUGAAGCAUAAGAUCUAGGAUCCCUUAUUUGCCCCAGACCCUUCAAAGACCCUGCCUUACACAUGCUGUGCAAGCACUCCAGCACUGAGCUACAUCCCCAGGCUUCUUGUUGUUGUUUUGUUUUGAGACAAGGUCUUGGUAAGUUGCUGAGGCUGGCCUCAAGCUUUUGAUUUUCCUUCCUCAACCUCCCAGAUCUCCAGAAUUUCAGGUGUAUACCAUUGCACCUGGCUUAUAUUCCUCUUCCUUAAAGAGGUCUCCAGUCCUAAAAAGAACUGAAUCCAUCACUAUGUAUUUAAGUUAUGAGAUCCUUGGUAAGAAUGAUGACACAGAAAUCCAAUCUUACAUUAAAUUAUGAUUUUCUUGAUUAUUCUCCAAAACAUAGCAAUUGUUUGGUGUUCUAAAGACUGACUUGGGCAAUAUGGUUCAGGGCAAAGCCUUCAGGACUAGGAAAUCAGAAGUCUUGGGUUUGAAUUUGAAGUAACAUUGCACAUAAGUAGUGCUUAGCGUUCCUGAGAUUCAAAGGCACCAAAAACAUACAUUGGAGAAAAGAUAGCCUCUUCAACAAAUGGUGCUAUGAAAACUGGAAAUUCAUAUGCAGCAAAAUGAAAUUAAGCCUCUAUCUCUCACCAUGCACAAAACUCAACUCAAUGUGGAUCAAGGACCGAGGAAUUAGACCAGAGACCCUGCACCUAAUAGAAGAAAAAGUAGGCCCAAAUAUUCAUCAUGUCGGAUUAGGCCCCACUUCCUCAACAAGACUCCUAUAGUGCAAGAAAUAAAAUCAAACAUUAAUAAAUGGGAUGGAUUCAAACUGAAAAGCUUCUCAGCAAAAGAAACAAUCAGUGAGGUAAAGAAAGAGCCUACAGAAUGGGACCAAAUUUUUACCCCAUGCACAUCAGAUAGGGCACUAAUCUCUAGGCUUAACACCAAAAUAAAUAAAUAAAUAACCCAAUCAAUAAAUGGGCUAAGGAACUGAACAGAAACGUCUCAGAAGAUGAUAUAAAAUUGAUCAACAAAUAUAUGAAAAAAAAUGUUCAAUAUCUCUAGCAAUUACAGAAAUGCAAAUCAAAACUAAGGUUUCAUCUCACUCCAGUCAGAAUGCAGCUAUUAAGAAUACAAACAACAAUAAAUGUUGGCGAGGAUGUGGGGAAAACGGCACACUCAUAUAUUGCUGGUGGGAUUGCAAAUUGGUGCAACCAAUAUGGAAAGCAGUUUGGAGAUUCCUGGAAAACUUGGAUUGGUACCACCAUUUGACCCAGCUAUCCCACUCCUCAGUUUAUACCCAGUGGACUUAAAAACAGCAUACUAUAGUGUCGCAGCCACAACAAUGUUUAUAGCAACACAUUUCACAAUAGCUAAACUGUGGAACCAACCUAGAUGCCCUUCAAUAAAUAAAUGGAUAAAGAAACUGUGGUAUAUAUAUACACAAAGGGAUAUUUCUCAGCAUUAAAAGAGAAUAAAAUCAUGGCAUUUGCAGAUAAAUGGAUGAAGUUAGAGAAUAUCAUGUUUUGUGAAGUAAGCCAGUUCCCAAAAACCAAGGGAUGAGUGUUUUCUCUGAUAUGUGGAUGUUGAUCCAUAAUGGGGUGAAGGGGAGCAUGGGAGGAAUGUAGGAACUUUGGAUAGGGCAAAGGAGAGGGAGGGGAAGAGAGGGGUCAUGGGGGUAGGAAAGAUGGUAGAAUGAGAUGGACAUCAUUACCCUAAGUACACGUAUGAAGACACGAAUGGUGUGACUGUACUUUGUGUACAACCAGAGACAUGAAAAAUUGUGCUCUAUGUGUGUCUAUGAAUCAAAAUGCAUUCUGCUGUCAUGUAAGACAAAUUAGAAUAAAUAAAUAAAUUUAAAAUAAAAAAUAAUGAAAAAAAAGUUGAAAUGGCUAAUCUUUAAAAUUUUUUUCCAAUAUGAAACAUUCUAAUACUUAUUGCCUUUUUUUUUGAGGUUUUUUUUUUUAUUGGUUGUUCAAAACAUUACAAAGCUCUUGACAUGUCAUAUUUCAUACAUUAGAUUCAAAUGGGUUAUGAACUCCCAUUUUUACCCCAAAUACAGAUUGCAGAAUCACAUCGGUUACACAUCCAUAUUUNUCUUCAGGGAAUAGUCUGAGAAGGGCAAUAGCUGGGUCAAAUGGUGGUUCCAUUCCCAGCUUUCCCAGGAAUCUCCAUACUGCUUUCCAAAUUGGCCGCACCAAUUUGCAGUCCCACCAGCAAUGUACAAGAGUACCCUUACUUAUUGCCUUUUUAAUGUUACAAUAUUCUGGGGUACUCAAAUUAGUUGGCUCCUGGUUUAUUGUUGAAGAGGUGUUACUGAAACAUUUGAAAGGCAACUAAGAUCCUCUGUGAAUCAUCUUUCACGAAAGCCUCUAGGAAACGGGAAAUUAUGAAAAAAAAUGUAUAUUUCUACUCUCUACCAAGUGAUCUCUCUUAAAUUGUUAUAAUAUCUGUGAAAAAUAAUUUAUUUGAUUACCAUUGUUUGCAGGUUUCCAUUUCUUAGAAAAAUGAGUGAACAACACUAUUUUAGUUGCUUGUCUCUGAAAUCUACUCUAAGCUAGCUGGAUUGUCCUGUUGGCCCAGUGGCCCAAGACCCUGAUGGUCUACAUUCUUGGCACAGUUCUCAGUUAUCACUGUAAAUGUAACCCUUGAAGUUCCAAGAGGUCAAGUAAGUGGGAAAAAAUGAUUUCUGUAUAUAUCAUUUUAGUCAAUUUUUAAAAUGCUAUCCUCUUGGAAGGAAAAAUAUGUCUUGUUUAUGUUUGGGGAGGAAAAAGAAUUCAAAUUAUCAUUUUUAAUUCCAAGAAUGGAGUGGAAAGAAAAGGCGAUUUCAACAGAUUUUUGUGGAGUAUAUGCUAUAUACAGAUGCUAUAGGUGGGCUGGGGUUGUGGCUCAGUGGCAGAGCACUUGCCUAGCACAUGUGAGGCAGUUUAUUAAAUAAAUAAAAUAAAGGUCCAUCAACAACUAAAAAUAUGUAUAUAUAUUAAAAAAAAAGAUACUUUAGGUCCUAGCAGAUUCACUUGUAGGUUAUAUAUGCUCUAGAGAAAUGAAAACAUGUCCACAUAAAAACUUGUACACAAAUGAUUAUGUCAGCAUUAUCCAUGAUAAUCAAAAAGUGGACAGGGCUGGGGAGUUGUGGCUCAAUGGUAGAGCGCUUGCCUCACAUGUGUGAGGCACUGGGUUAAAUUCUCAGUACCACAUAUAAAUAAAUGAAUAAAAUAAAGGUUCGUCAACAAGAAAAAAAUAUAUUUUAAAAAAAGUGGAAAGAGUCCAGAUGUCCAUCAACUGAUGCAUAGGUAAGAAAAAUAUGGUGUCUUCAUAUAAUGGAAUAUAAUUUGGCAAUAACUGGAGUGAAAUACUGAGCCAGGCAGUACACUAAGUGUUAAAAACAUUACGCUAAGUGAAAGAAGCCAGCCUUAAAUGACCGCAUCCUAUUAUUCUGUUCUUAUGAAAUAUCCAGAGGAGGGAGAUCUUACAGAGAUAGAAAGCAGAUUAGUGUUUGCUUAAGCUGGAGGUAGGAAGAUGAUGGCUAAAGGGUACAGGGGUUUUUGUUUGUUUGAUAAUGUAAAUGUUCUAAAAGUAACUGUGGUGUUAUCUGUAAAUAUACUAAAAACCAUUGAGUUGUUCACUUCCAAUGGACAAAUUAUAUAUUUGAAUUAUAUCUCAUGAAAGCAGAGAUAUUUUUUUAAAAGAAAACUUGAAGAUGCAGGGAUAGAUCCAAAUAGACAUUCCCCUACUCUGAAGAGGUACUUGACAUCCAUCAGAGCAUUGAUACCUGUGAAUUUAAAACUGAAGGAUACAAGAAUAGAGAAAAUGAUAGGUUUUAUAGGAAAAGAUGACAUUUAGCUGGACUGUGAGUGUGGGUGGUAUUGGGACAGUACAGACAGGGGAACUAGCACAAAGAAAUCAAGUAUGAAAUGAAAUGAAAAGCAUGAAGGGGUAUGUGAUGGAAUAGUAAUUCAUUUUUUCCCCAAUUACUGAGUUUUAGAAUUUAAGUUAGAGUAAAAGUUAUACUGUAGGAAGGAUUCUGCAUUCUUUGUACUUUGAAGGAUUUUAAGCAGAAAUGUGAUAUUGUCUGAACUGUGUGCUUUAGGAAGACGAUUAAGGUAAUACUGUUUUUAAGAUGAAUUGCAGAAAAGAUAGAAUCGAGGGUGAAAGAGCAGCAAGCCGAGGAGAGAAAACUAAUGCCACAGAAUGGAGAGUUAAAAACGUGUGGGGAGAAAUAUUUGAAGCAGAAUUGAGGAUUAAUUGAGUGUAAGGGACAAGGGAAAAGAAGAGUUGAAGUUAAUGUGAGGAGUUUGUGAGCCAUUUAGGGGAGAAGCCAAAUAGAUGUUUUAAAACGUGGGACUGAGGCUUACAAUAGGGGUCGGGAUCACCAGUGACACAGUGUCAUUCAAUACCAUUAAAUGGACAGAAGUGAAGAUAGCAGCUUGCACUUAUGCAGAGAACUUGGCUGAUCCUUGGAGGAACACACCAUUGAGGUCAUCAGAGAGAAGCCAAGGAACUUAGCAGAAAUAGUUCAUGGGUCAGUUUCUUGGGAUGCUGGAGACAUUUUUGGAGUGAGAAGGAAGGUAUUGAAAUGGAAGGAAACAGAAAGGACCCUUUAGGUUUAAUGCAUCAAACUCCAGAAUACAAGCUUUAGCCCCCUAGCAAUGCAGUGUCCUAAAAAUAAGAAAAGGUAAAAUGGAGAAGUUUAAUUCCUAGAAAUCCAAGGGAGUUCAUUUUAAGACAUUUAUAGAGAUGUGCAGCCAAAGAUGCAGAGAGGAUGCAUUUUUAAAAAAUUGUGUAAAAAUGAAUAAGCAUUUAAAGAGAAGGUAAAUAGUAAGCCCACAUGGCCAGUAGCAUGAGAAUGCUAUUUCCUAGGAGCAAACAUCUCUUGCAUUUGAAACUGGGCAUGAGGAUGGUGACAUAUGCCUUAUUUAAAACUAUUUUCUUAGGAACAUAGUAUCUAGUGUUGUAUAGGGUCAUAAGGAACAUUUUAAUUCAUUGAAGGUGUAGUCAGACUAGAAGAGCAAGGUAGACAUGUAAACAUUCCAACAAUUGAUUGGUGUUUUAGUCAGUUUUUUUGCUGCUAUGACUAAAAGAACAAGUAGAGGAAGAAAGGUUUAUUUGGGGGCUCACAGUUUCAGACAUAUCAAUCCAUAGACAGCAGGCUCCAUUCCUUGGGGCAUCAUGGCAGAAGAGCAUGGCAGAGGGAAUCAGCUCACAUGGUGAUCAGAAAGCAGAGAGAAGACGACUUCACACUCCAGAUACAAGUAUAUACCCCAAAGCCACACCGACAAUGCCCCACUUCCUCCAGCCACACCCUACCUGCCUCCAGCCACCACUCAGUUAAUCCCAUCAGGGACUAAUUUGCUGUUUAGUUUAAGGCUCUUACAACCUGAUCAUUUCUCCUCCAAACCUUCUUGCAUUGUCUCACACAGAAGCUUUCAGGGGACACUUCACAUCUAAGCCAAACCCUGUGGAUAGGUAAAAUGUAAUGAUACAGAAUGUAGGCAAGUUUUAGCUGCCAGAUGCUCUAAAGCCUUCCACAGCCACAGAGGGAAUAACAAAAAUAAUCAAAAAAGUACAGUUUGUAAAUGUAAGCAUGAGAGGAGAUUUGGGAUAUCCUCAGCAAGAAAAACUUGAAAAUGGAAAUACUGUUUUUACAAUUUUUUUUUCUGUAAGACCAUCUCCAAAGCUAGCUAAACACCUAAAAAUUAUUCUAAUAAAUACAAGUUCUAAAUUGUUAUAUUCAUUGACCCAAUAACUAUUUCAAUAAAUCUGUUUGAAAGAAAGCCCCCCAAACACAGAUAAGUAAGAUACACAAAGAUCUUCAAAAUGCUUUAUUAAAUAAUGCAAUAACAAAACAAAGGGUUGACUACAUCCUUGGUUUCCAGUUGUGGAGAAACAGUUGUGAAUUAAUUGUGACUCUUCCAUUGGGAAGUCAUUAAAUGAUCUUUGUGGACAGUGUUGGGUGAUAUGGCAACAUGCUCAUAAUACCGAAAUAGAUUAAAGAGGUAGGUUAUGAAAUUACAUGUAGAGCUCAGUUGUAUAAUGAAAGAAAUGAUGACAGGAAGAAAUAAAUAUCCACAUGGAGACAAGUAUGCGCAUUGUUACAGGGUUUUUAAAAAAUAGUAUAUAUGAAUGUAUACACACACGUGUGUGUGUUUGUGUGUGUGUGUGAGUGUGUGUGUAUUAGAUUUUCUACAUUGGUCAUGUGCUUCUUUAAUAGACAAUUGAGAAAUAAUCAUUACUUCCAAAAUGGGGGAAAUGAUUAUGGGAGAGCCUCAGAAAGGGAUGAAUCAGUGCACAUCAUCAGCCUUUUAGAGAAGCUAUUGAAAAUAUAAGCCUUACUGACAGGAUCUGCAGCAUUGCCGUGUGCUGUCACAUUAGUGCUGGCUGCUGUUAGCUUUUAUUGAGUUGCCCUGGAUGCAGAUAAACCAGAAGACGCCUCAGUAAGAUUCUGAAAUCUACUGACACAUUUGUUUCCUAAGUACUGCCUGUGGAAGAGUAUCCUGUGUCUUUGUUGUAAAAGUCAUAGCUUUUACAUUUGUCAUCCAUGGGUGAAGAUACAAUUUUAACUUUGUAAUAUUGCAUUUGUAUUUAAAACUACCAUAUUAGCAAUUAUCGCUGCUGCUUCCUUCUUUCUCCUCCUCCUCUUCACCCUCCCCCUUCUUCUUCUUCUUCUUUUUUUUUUUUUCCUUUAAAGAGAUGAGGUUUCACAGUGUUGUCCAAACUGAACUCAAACCUGGGAUCAAGAGAUCCUCCUGCCUCAGCCUCCCAAGAAACAGGGACUAAAGACAUGUGCCAAUGUGCCCACCUUAAUUAUUGAUUCUUUAAUUUUUUUCCGAUAAUUACAUAUAUUUAUUCUUUUUUUUCCCUCAUAGGUACACCAUAAGUACAAAAUACUAAAGUUAUAAAAGAGAAAAAGAAGAUUGCUGCUAACAUGAAUCUGAGCAAUACAGCGCAUUUUGUGCCACAUACAAAAAGGUACUGUCCGUAGAUUUAUGACUUAGCUUUCUCCUAAAAACUGG